AACACAGGAAGCACCUCUAGUGACCGUCUGAGUGACUGUCACUAGCAGUGUCACUUUGAAGCAAUGUAAACACUGCCUUUUGUCUGAAAAGUCAGUGUUUACGUUGAAAAGCCUGUAGGGACAUGCUAUAGACACCAGUACCACCACAUUAAGCUGUGUGUGUGCGUCUGUUGGUGAGUGAGCUUGCUUGCAUGCGUGUGCCUGCUAGUGAGUGAGCUUGUGUUUUUAUGUCAAUGAGCUGAUGUAUAUCAGUAAGAUUGUUUGUCUAUGAGGCUGUGUAUCAAUGAGCUUGUGUGUGUCACUGAAAUGUCAGUGAAAUUGCCUGUGUCUGCAUGUGCGUAUGCUUACUGUAUAAUUAAACGUUUUACCCUGAAAGGACCAAUAUUUUAUAUUAGAAAAAGCAAUAUAUAUAUAUAUAUAUAUAUAUAUAUAUAUAUAUAUAUAUAUUACUCAAUUAUCUGUCCUGGCAAGACAUAGCCUUACAUAUUACACGCGACAAUAUAUGGCGGAGUGACUUAUGGGGCUGGCACAAAUUUUUUUCCAGGGCUGCUUUGUAUCCCCAGUCCGGCCCUGGCCUUUUUGGGUUUGGGUAGCCUAUGAAUGCGGUCCACAAGUAAAUCCAAAUUCGUGGCCCUUGGUAAUACUGUCUUGACCAUAGUCUGAAAAUAGUCCAGCAAUUCAGAAGUUUCAACAUUAUCAGGAAUCCCUCUAAUCCUUAGGUUAUUACACCUACUUCUAUCUUCAGAGUCCGCCAUCUUCUAUGCUUGAAGGUUAACCUGUUUUUGUAGAUUCUUUACGGUCUCAACUAGAUCUAGAUGAGAUUGUUCUUGAGCUUGUCUAUAUUAAAUUUCCUCUGUUCGCUGUCCAAUGCCUUCCAUGACUUCAUAUAUAGUAUCAAAAUCCUUUUUAAAGUCGAAUUUUUAAUCCAGUCUCAAGUUUUGAAUUAGUUGAAUGAUCAUGCCAGCUGACGGUGGAAGAUCGUCUGCCAUUUCCAGUGGCAUAUUAGGCAGGUAGGUCAUGGUUUUAUAACCUGUGGUGGCCAUCUUGGAUGUGGCAGUUGUCAUCUUGGUUGUGGCAGCAGCCAUUUUUGUGGUGGCAAAAUCAGACUGUUCUUGAGUGGCCAUCUUGGAUAUGGCAAAGUCAGUUGAAAAAGUAGCUUCAGCAGCCAUCUUGGUAGAGGCAUCAAGUUUAUGCCUUUGUGCCAAGUGAGAAUAUUGGUGUAAAUUAGAAUUUUCUUCCAUAUCUAUGCACUGUUCUUCUGAGCUCUCUAUAGCUCUCACUGGUUCUGGUGACUUGUGGGAUGUGGAGGAAGAAGCCCCCCCGCAGUUGUCGCCAGCCGUGAAGCCGAGGACCCCGACAGGGAACGGGACCGCAACCCCCCUGCAUCCCUCUCUCCAGCCUGGCUGCUUUUAUAUAUGAGCGACCGGGCUGUCUUAAUACUUAGCCGCGAGCGGCAGCGUGCACAUCCUGUGCGGAAGACUGUUCCCUGCACUCCGAGCGUGCCGAGCACUCCGAGCGCACUGAGCCGCGUUCUGAACUCACAACAUUUACAGCUGCGGUCCCGCCGCCUGUAGCUUGAUACGAGCGGGCCUCAGCCGCACUCGCAUACGAGCAAAUGUGGGAAGAAGGGUGGGAGGAAGGGAGGGAUUUCCACGCUCCCACCAACGGUGAUAUAAGCCGCGGGCCGGUUUUAGGAGUGGGUGAUUGGGCCUGCAAACCCUUAAUCACCCUAGUCACUCUAACAUCGAGUUUCUGCGUCCCAGAUCCGUUUUUUUGUUUUUUCUUUGUUUCUGCAUAUUGGUGAAAUGUUUUUGAAGCUGUUGCAGAAGUUAGUUCUUUGUCAUUAAAGCUGUAAAUGUAGUUUUUGUGACAAUAAUGUCCCCCUGGACCAGGAGCCUCUCUCGAACGUGGCUAUCUAAGAUGGUGGCCAAACUCCGCCCCCACAAAGGUGUACUCUGUGUGGGUGGGAGUGUACUGUAUGUGGGGAGUCAUUGUCUGUGAGGGUGUACUGUGUUCUUUAAUAAAAGUUUAAAAAAAAAAAAGAAUAUUCCCCUUUUCCUGAUCUUACCUUAUCUCUCUUGGAGCUCAGGCACUUACACAGACUGACCCUUGCAAACCCACAGACUGACCCGCCACACACAGACUUACCCAUACACACACACACACACACACACAGACUGUCCCCAUAAACAAACUGACCCAUACAUAUACACAGACUACCCCCACACAAAGACUGACCCUCCACACACACAGACUUACCCCUACACAUGCAGGCUGACCAAUACACACACAGACUGACCCAUACACACACACACAGACUGACCCCCUCAUACACAGACAGACUGACCCACACACACACACUGACCCCCACACACAGACUGAACCAUGCACACACACAUGCUGACCCCAUACAUACACAGACUGACCCCUCCCACAGACAGACUGACCCAUACACACACAGACAGACCAAUACACACACACAGACUGAACCACACACACACAUUGACUCUCACUUACCAGCAGCUGCCUGGAUGCCUCAUUUCACCAGGCAGAGCCGAGCUUACUCUCCCUGUCUCUCUCUGUGAUCCAGCACAAAGUUCCUUCCAGCACAGUGCUCCCUCUGGCCGCACGUGGGAAUUCUUCAAAUAAUUCUCCCACCUCAGUGCACUGCUGCUGCAGCUUGUGAAGGAAGACUCAUUGCUCCCGGCUUCGAUUUCAAUUGGAGGGGCACAAGGGGGGCAUCGCAUGAUGAAGGGGGGUCAUGGCCCCCUCUGCUCCCCCCAUCCUCCCACUAGUUGGGAGGACAAGGAGGAGAGACUAGUUUUCAAAGCAAUUCUAUGCCAGAUAUUGCCACGAGAGCUUUCUACACUCUGCUGGACAUCAAUGUCAACACCUUCAGGGAAGUUCAUGUCUGAGCUUGUUCGAUCUCUUUCCACAUCAUGUUAGCCCCAUCCUCAAGAUCUGAAAUGUGGUUAGCAUAGGGGUGAGAUUAGUUUGGUAUAGCCAAGAGAGAUCAUUGGUAAUCCAGAUUCCCAGAUAUUUUACUGUUUUUUUCAUCAUAGUGGAGGUGGAAGCUCCUUUGUAGGAUGUCAGCCCUUUUGUGUGGUAGAUUAACAUUGAAUAGGUUGGAUUUGGUAUAGUUGAUCUUACAAUUAAUGGAGCACUCUUGUGGUGGACAAAACCCACUUGAUCCGGAAGUACCAGGUCUGGUAUGAAAGGCAUCAGCUAAGUUGCCAAAAUCUUUGCAAAUAACUUCACGUCACAGUUUAAAAAGGAGAUCGGCCAUAAUUAGCACACUGCGACAGGUCCUUGUCCUCUUUGGGAAUCAGAAUGGUGUUAACUGCCAAUGUUUGAGUGGGGGGGAAGUGAAGGACUGAAAUCCUGCAGUGCCUGCAAGGUCCCCCUGCUUAAGAAAGCACAGAGGCCCAUCUGAAGUUUGUCAAUGAACAUUUGAAUGAUUCAGAGGAGAACUGGGUGGAAAUGUUGUGGUCAGAUGAGACCAAAAUCGAGCUCUCUGGCAUCAACUCAACUUGCCGUGUUUGGAGGAAGAGGAAUGCUGCCUAUGACCCCAAGCACACCAUCCCCACCGUCAAACAUGGAGGUGGAAACAUUAUGCUUUAGGUGUGUUUUUCUGCUAAGGGGACAGAAAAUCUGCACCGCAUCAAAGGGAUGAUAAACUGGGCUGUGUACCAUCAAAUCUUGGGUGAGAACUUCCUUCCCUCAGCCAGGGCAUUGAAAAUGGGUCAUGGAUGGGUAUUCCAGCAUGACAAUGAUCCAAAACACACAGCCAAGGCAACAAAGGAGUGGCUCAAGAAGAAGCACAUUAAGGUCCUGGAGUGGCCUAGCCAGUCUCCCGAACUUAAUCACAUAGAAAAUGUGUGGAUAGAGCUGAAGGUUUGAGUUGCCAAAUGUCAGUCUCAAAACUUUAAUGACUUGGAGAGGAUCUGCAAAGAGGAGUGGGACAAAAUCCCUCCUGAGAUGUGUGCAAACCUGGUGGUCAGCUACAAGAAAUGUCUGACCUCUGUGAUUGCCAACAAGGGUUUUGCCACAAAGUACUAAGUCGAAGGGGUCAAAUACUUAUUUCACUCAUUGACAUGCAAAUUAAUUUAUAACUUUGUUGACAUGCGUUUUUCUGGAUUUUUGUUGUUGUUGUUGUUAUUCUGUCUCUCACUGUUAAAAUACACCUAACAUUAAAAUUAUAGACUAAUCAAAUUUUUUGUCAGUGGGCAAACGUUCAAAAUCAGCAGGGGAUCAAAUACUUUUUUCCCCUCACUGUAUGCUUCUCAAUUAUCUCUAGUACAGUUUAUUGAGAAUGGAUGAACGUUAGCUCAUCAUUCCAGCCACUUUCACUAGCAUUGUGGAGCUAACAGAACUAGAAGAAAACCUCCCUAGAUGUCUGGGGAACUGCCAAAGAGGUGUAUCUACCCCCAGUUAUAAAAGUGCCAAUUUCUACUAAAUUAAGGUAAUUCCCCGACAGAACAAUUAGUUCAGGCAUAGAUUAAAAGCAGUUUGGUUCAUUUGUACUAGCUGAAAAGAAUUUGUGCAUAACUCUAGUACACAUAGAUAGUCGAAGGGUGGAAACUCUGAUGUGCUGAGUAUUUCUUUCCUCUACUUAAUUAACAAUUAAUUCAUUAAGCCUUUUCUCAGAUGACUCACUCACUGUAUGCCUCUACAAAAUCCCUUUCCGUAUUUGAUCACAGACUAAACUUUUUUUUCUCCUUACAUGCAUAAUAAUUCAUGAUGUGGAAGCAAAUAGCUAAGUGGCACAUAUGACAAAUAGAUACUCAUUUAUAACAGAGCUGUCUAGUAACACCCUGCUUUGCAUUAAAUGGUCUUGCAUCAGUGUUUAUUGACAGACUAUUCUUUCAUGCUAAUUAUGCUAAAGUUGAAAAAACUGAUUUGACAUUGUACACUCAUUUUGCUGGAGGAUGUUUACUAGCACAUACUGUUCACAAUGAAUUAUUUCUACUAAAACAUAACACCUUUAUCUCAGAAUUAGAAUAACUCUGAAUUAUAUUUAUGAUCUCUUACAAUGGGGACACCAGGGCACACGAGGCACCGUAAGGACUACAUUAUCUACUUGGGUAUAGAGCUUCAGAUGGGAUCGGUGACCCAAGACCUAUUGGGUAGGUUUGGUCUGCGAUCACUUGCUGGGAACUGAGAAAAUGGCAGGUAGUGGUAUUGCCUUUCCAUGACCGACCUGAAAUUACUGUCAAUCAACGCCAGAGGACUCAAUACCCCUGAGAAGAGAUCUCUAGCACUGAGGGAUUUUAAGUCUCAGAAUGGGCAUAUUGUUUAUGUACAGGAAACUCACUUAAGGUAGGAUAGUGCCCUGACAAUCAUAUGUACCCUCAGGGAUUUUACAGGAAUAAUCAUGAAAGUAAAUUCAGGGGGAAUGUGAUCCUACUCCACAAAUCAAUCCUGUUUCAACACAAAGGGUUGCUUGUAGGUAGGGAAGAAUGCUUUGUUUUUGUUAUUGGGUCAGAUAUAUACAUUUUCUAAUCUUUAUGCCCCCAAUAUGAGACAAGGGAAGUUCCUUCAGACAGUACUUACACAACUGACCACAAUAUUUUUUGGUCCUGGGGGGGACUUUAACCCCUUAAGGACCAAACUUCUGGAAUAAAAGGGAAUCAUGACAUGUCACACAUGUCAUGUGUCCUUAAGGGGUUAAUAUCACCCUGUGCCCCCAUAUUGACAUGUCCACUGCCACAUCGGUGAUACUGGAGCAGAUCCUUUGGAUGAUUAAAAACGUCUUACACACUCGUCUCACUGAUUGCUGGCAAUCUUUUCACCCUCACAACAGGGACUACAUGCACUACUUGACAGAUAGAUACUUGACUACUUUUCCAUCCCAUACUACUACCUCUUGCAGGACUGCCGAUUUGAAAUAGGGCUGAUGACAUGGAUGGACCAUGUCCCGCUGACUGUAACUUCCCCUCUUUUCAGACAAUGCAUGACUAACCGGCGACUCAACAAGACACUCAUCACUGAUCCACGCAACUGCCACUCUGACACAAUACUUUGCUGAAAAUGUAACACCUGACACCCCUGUCCGAUUGUAUGGGAAGCUCACGGCCAGAGGCAGACAAUAAAGAAGAAUCUAAAAGAUGAUAUUCAUGCCCUAACAGAAAAAGAUUCAUGCACUAGAAUUGGCAUACAAUGCAGACCUCGAUUUGAUGCAAUAAAUCAGCUAUCCACCCUUCUUCAUUACUGUAUCCAAUGUUCUCUGCAGCAAACCAAUGCAUACUUUUAUGUUUAUAGAGACAAAUGUUGCAAACUGCUUGCAUGCAUUCUAGAUAAAAAGAGAACCAAAUCCUACACUGACUAUUUGCAUGACACCUGUGGUCAUACACAAUAACUGCCUGAUAAAAUCGCAGAGGCGGCUCGAGAAUAUUUUUUAAACCAUAUUCCAAAGCGCCGUUGGAGGGCUCCUCACAGUCUGAGCAGAAAAUGUCCAUGAUACAGUCUUACCUUGCUGACAACAUUCGCUCAAAAAUACCCCCAGGGGUUGAGGAAGCUUUGGAAACCCCCUUGGCAAUGGAGGAGCUGGCGACCGCAGUGAAAACAACAAAUUUUUUUGGGGGGUAUUCUGUCUCUCACUGUUAAAAUACACCUACCAUUAAAAUGAUAUACUGAUCAUUUCCCAUACUGUAUAUAAAUGUCAUUAUUGCAUCCUUCUCAAAUUUCAUUGUUACCAUGUAAUAAAGGUAAUACCAUGGAACAGUUGUACAAGUAACAAAUGUCUGCAACACACAAGUAAACAAGAGAAGUUUCAUAAAGUUAAACAAUAAAAAGCCAGACUUUGUAGUUGGUGAAUAAUGCUGUGAUCCCAAACUGUCAUAAACCUCAAACUAUAAGGUACUCAUGCCUUAAAGGUCAUAGAUUUAUUAAAGGGACACUCUAAGCCCCAUAGCAACAUUGACCCAUUUCAGACAUUAAUGAGCAAAAAGAUCCUGUAUCAAUGUACCCUUGCAAGGAGUUGCUUAUAAAUGCAAUUUUUCCAACAAUUAUGCUUAUUUGUAUUAAUUAGUGAUCAAUGAUUCCAUGCUAUUUGUGACUCUAUGAACCCAUAAACACAUUUUACAAAGGUAAACCCACUUAAAUGCUCACAAAUCAUAUUGUUUUUUGAUCUCAUAUAUGAGUAUCGUAAUCCAUGUUUUUAAAUGUAUUUUUUGUCAAUACAAACAAAAAGCUUUGUGCAAUUCACAUAGAAUUCUGAAUCCAGCUAGUUAUCAAAUUGGAAGUUCCAAACACCAUAAAGACCUAUUGUGAUAUUUCCCCAAAUUACCAGUACGAACAGGAGCCGAUUGAUGACAAUUCAGCCAUUGAAAUUUAAAAGGUACAGGGAAGAUUAUAAACAGGGUUGGGUGUAUAAUUGGUCUGCUACACCCUAUCUCAGGUGUCCUAGAUUACAGAACCAGUACAGAUCCACAGAUUCCAAAAGUGUCAGUUUCAGAGAUGAUUUAAAUGUGACUAGUUUAGCUUUAACAUCUAAUAUGUCAACAGUUAAAAAUCAUAAAAAAAAAAAAAAAAAAGAAUAGACAGUCAUUAAGCAGGCCCUGCAUUACAAAUAUCUCCUUGGCAAAAAAACAAAACAGACAAAUUACCACAAUCAACACGCUAGACAGGGAACUAGAACUCAAGACCUAAGAAGAUGCAUAUCUGAGGCAGAAGAACUAUAGAGCAUAUUGAAUCUUUCAAGUGAAAAAUUAAAGUAUGAUGUAAUAAGACUUUUAACAAAAAGGGCUCUCUUUUGCACUAACCACAGAUUUUAAUUAAUUUCACACCAUUGUGAACAGACAUGAGUGACACAACAUUUUUCACAGGAAGGGCAUAAUAAUAUGUCUUUGUGGGACAUGUGAGACAGUAAUGGGUGCUAUGUUUGUGCCAAUCUGUAUAUUGGUUUGUAGGAGAAGACCUGAGUAUUUAUUCUUGAUCUAAUUGUGCAUCUGGAGUGGUACAAGUGAUGAGCUAAAAGAGUUAGUCUAGGAUAAACGUAUGUCUAGUUUUAGGAAGACACUGACUAUUAGUGCAGACUAUAUUUCAAAGUUUGACCAGAUAUGUAAAAUUGUUCAAAUCUAAAUACCAAUCCUGUUGAUUAAUUCUUGUAUUGAACAUGUUGAUUGGUCUGGUAUUAAAUCUAUACACUUGGUCUGGUAUUAAAUGUUGCUUGGUCUGGUAUUAAAUCUUUACUACAAUAACUACAAUAACAACCCUCAACAAAUAUAUGUAAAUUAAUCAUCCCAAUGUGGCUUUGCUACAUAUAUACUCACAAAGUCACAUCUUUCUAGAACUUGUAUGGCUCUUAGGGUUGGUGGUAAUUUUUGCUCCUUGGUAAGCCAGAAGGUUUACCAUAUCAGAUAGUAUUUCAACUGCAAUAUAGUUUUGUCAAAUAAUAUUAGCUGUUAUAGUGAAUAUGUAAUUCAAACAAACUCUUUGAUAACAGUAUUUUCAAACUGACAGUAAAUGGUAGUGACUUCAGUAUGGUAAUUGAAUGGAUGGUGGGCCCUUCAGGUGGACUUGGGGCUAGCCCUGUUAGCAGACUCGGCGGGGAAGAGCUAUGGGCCCAUGUCUUGAGCUUUGUAAGGAGCCUCAAAAUUGCUGAUGGCAUCCUGGCCAUGAUAGAGAGGCGACAGAACACACAGUGCAUUGCAGAUUGCUGUGUAUAGGGCUGCAGACUGAUCAGAGUAGCAAUGAGAACCCCUGACCACCACCAAAAAAACCUUAAUCCAAUUGAGCAACUGUGGGAUGUGCUGGAAAAACAAAUCCGAUCCAUGGAGGCAUCACAUCACAACUUGCAGGAUUUAAAGGAUCUCAUGCUACAGUCUUGGUGCCACAAGACAUGUUCAGAGGUCUUGUGGAGUCCAUGCUUCAAUCAGAGCUGUUUUGGCAGCGUGAAGGGCAACAACACAUAUGGUUUUGUGUUGCAUUUUCAGUUAAAUUUGAAAAAAACUAACAAUUAAAGCAUUUGUGGUGUUGAGCUAUUUCAUUUGUUUUUGUUUGACUUGUUUAUUACAAACAGCUGAAAGUCUAUACAUUUUGACAAUAAACCAGAUUUUCAAUGGGGGUUGAAUAAUUUUAAAUACAACUAUAUCUUGUUAGUGACCUCUCUCAGAAGCAACUAAGGUGAGUAAAGUCUUAGAUGUGAGGAUUAUCAGAGCCACUCUUUAGUGUACCAAAGUACCAAAGUCGUGUCCCCAAUGUCUGGUGUUGGUGGCGGUGAUGAAUCCGGUGAUUAUAAUUCUCUUUUCCCCACCACUGCAGACAUAUCACUUUUACCUCUGGCCCAGUAACUACUCAACUAUAAGUAUGAUGAGUCAGAGGAAUUAGAAGAUGACAGUUUAGAGAUUACUUGCAGCAGCCCAGUAAUUUCCCCAACAGCCAGGGUUCAUUCGCCUCCUGCAUCCUGUCCACCAUCUCAGUCUGUGAUGGAUAACCUGGCACCCUGACUGGGCACCUCCGCCAACAGAUGCUUCCUGGCUGACGCUGAGAACCAUAGGGUUAAACAGUAACUCAAUUUUAAUGGAGGCACACUGGCCUUUUAUGCAAGUUUCCCAACAAAGGUGACACCCACGUGAACCUUGUUGGGCACAGGGAUAAAAAGCUAACAAACCAAUAAAAACAGUCCCUCCCCUCUGCCUGGGCGAUAAGUAAGGCAGAUAAUGCAUUAAAGGGACACUAUAGUCACCUAAACAACUUUAGCUUAAUGAAGCAGUUUUGGUGUAUAGAACAUGCCCCUGCAGCCUCACUGCUCAAUCCUCUGCCAUUUAGGAGUUAAAUCCCUUUGUUUAUGAACCCUAGUCACACCUCCCUGCAUGUGACUUGCACAGCCUUCCAUAAACACUUCCUGUAAAGAGAGCCCUAUUUAGGCUUUCUUUAUUGCAAGUUCUGUUUAAUUAAGAUUUUCUUAUCCCCUGCUAUGUUAAUAGCUUGCUAGACCCUGCAAGAGCCUCCUGUGUGUGAUUAAAGUUCAAUUUAGAGAUUGAGAUACAAUUAUUUAAGGUAAAUUACAUGUUUGAAAGUGAAACCAGUUUUUUUUUUCAUGCAGACUCUGUCAAUCAUAGCCAGGGGAGGUGUGGCUAGGGUUGCAUAAACAGAAACAAAGUGAUUUAACUCCUAAAUGACUGAAUUGAGCAGUGAAAUUGCAGGGGAAUGAUCUAUAUAGUAAAACGGCUUUAUUUAGCUAAAGUAAUUUAGGUGACUAUAGUGUUCCUUUAACUUAAUUAUCCCCAGGCAGAAAAAUACACAUUUUUAUAAAGUAUCAUAAGUACCCCAAAACACAACAUAUCCCCAUAAGUUAUUUACCCUGAUAGCCCUGAUCUGGGUAAACAACAUAUCCAAAAAUCACCCAGAUCAGAGCAGGGGUUCAGGAAAUUCCUGGAAGUCUCUUUUUGACCGACUGCAUGCAUGGUUUCAUGCCCAAAACAGUUCCAGAGAAUUAGGCUGUGCGGCCAAUCUACUUCAAACAGUCGAUAUACACUUCGAAUUACCAAACGUAACGGUUGAUGAACAUAGUCAGUGUGUGUCCCUUGUUUGUGGGUUUCUGCCAGUCGAACCCGUUCGACUCCCGUUCGAAUAGCCAAAGUUCCAUGGAAGGUAACUGUUCAGCGGUGUUCGUGCCGUAAGGUGUCCAAUUUGUGUUCCAUGACAAAACACAGCUAAACGCGUUCGAUUAAAUAAGAUGGGCGCCGCCACAUGUUCGACUAUACGAAUGGCGACCACCCAGCCAUUCGUCAAUUUGGCUGCGGUUAUCAGCCUGGGAGGUAAAUAGGCUGCACACUCCACUUGCGUAUGGUCUGGCUGUUCGGUGGUUCGAAGUGGCACUUCAAACCACUUCAAAAGUUCGAACUACCAUUGUCCAAAGUCCCAGUGGGCACAAAUAGGGUCUGUUAGCCACAAUAAUUUAAAGGGGCCAUAGUCACAGGGUAAAAGGCUGACAAGUAGUUGCCUCCAAACCCCAGUGGCAAAGUGACUUUCACCACACCGUCCAUUUGUAUGUGCUGUAGAAUCAUCUCAUCCAAUGGACACAGUUGAGACAUCAGCUGCACCUGCGGCCUCUAGCGCACGUGGCUCACUCACUGUCAGUUUUACCAGCAAUACCAUUACCAGUGUUUUAGCAUUAAUCAAGCAAGUGCUAGCAUAACAGCUAAUGUUGCCACAGCUUCCACGACAAAUCCACCCACAUCUUCAGGAGGCAUAAAGCAGAGGGUUCAGGAAACUGCAGUGUACUAAUGAAGCAAAGUUUGGGAUCACUUUGAGUGCCUCCUUGUACAAAGUGCAAACCUUGCAGCUGGGAAGUGAGUAGGUGGCAAGUGAAGAGUGACAGUGUGUGUGUGCGUGUGAGUGACAGAGUGUGUGUGUGUGUGAGUGACAGAGUGUGUGUGUGAGUGACAGAGUGUGUGUGUGUGUGUGAGUGAGUGACAGAGUGUGUGUGUGUGUGAGUGACAGAGUGUGUGUGUGUGUGAGUGAGUGACAGAGUGUGUGUGUGUGUCUGUGAGUGACUGUGUGUGUGUGAGUGCGUCUGUGUGUGUGUCUGCAUGUGAGUGUAUAAGUGUGUCUGUCAGUGUAUGAUGUGUGUUUGUCAGUGUAUGAGUGUGUGUCUGUCAAAUCAGUGAGAGUAUGUUUGUCAUUGAGUCUGUGUGUGACUAUCAGUGUGUCUGUCAAUGAGUGUCAAUCAGUGUGGGUCUGUCAGUGUCAAUGAAUGAGUGUGUGACAAAUCAAUGAGUCUGUGUCUGUCAGUGACGUCUGUGUGUUUGUCAUUGAGUGUGUGACUGUCAGUGUGUACAGAGUGUAGCGGAGCAGAGCGCGGUACAGGAGCUUCUGUUUCCUGUACCUGGCCAGACUGACAGGAGGUGCUCAAAGAGAGAGUACUCCCUGUCAGUCCGGCCGGGUACAGAAAACUGAACCUCCUUUAGGGGAUCUGCUCCGCUCGGCAAUGCAACAAUAGAGGUAGUAGGCACACCAGGAAGGGGAGUGUGACCACUAAAGGGGUGUGGGGUGCACCAAGGGACAGGGAGGGAAUGGGAGAGAAACACCAAGAGACAGGGUAAAGAGGGGGGAGAAGAACACUGAGGGACAAGGAAGGGACCACUAAUGGUCGGGGAGGGGAGAGGGGCUGGUUAAGAGGCACAUAGGUGAAGAUGUUUUUUUUUUGGGGGGGGGGGCGGAAAAAUGCAUCUUCGCCUAUGUACCUAAAAAUCCAAGUACCGGCCCUGACCCCACUCACCAACGCACCCAGACUAGAAGCAAUCCCACACAUGCAGUCUGUUUGGAAAUCUUUCAUUUGUUUCUACCAGAGGUAGUAGGCACUGCAAGACUCAGCCAGGCAGGUUGAAGCCACAACAAUAAAAGGCAUUUGAAAAAGGAGGAACAGCUACUGCAGGUGUAAUUUAAUUUGAAAACAUUUCUUUUUUUAAAAACCCCCUUUUUUCAAUUUAAUCACGCCUGCUGCAAGUAGUUUAUUUGUUUUGUUUUUAACUGAAGGACAGACACUGAUGUUUCAGACUGGUGUGUUGUUGUCAGGGUGGAAAGGGUAAGUGGCCCACUGACCUUUUCCCUUCAUUCUUUGGAUAAAUCCCCUAUUUUGAACUUAAAAUUAAUGCUGCUCCUUAUUUUCGGUACUUAAAUUCUGCCAGCCCAGUUUUUUUUUUUUUUUUAUCCUGCCUAAGUGUUCUAUUAAAACCAAAAUAAAAGUGUUGCACUAGUUUAAAACUCACCCUUUUAUGCUAUGGGGCUUUUAUGCAGGACUUGCCUGUCCAUAGGACCCAGGGGGGCCAUGGUUACAGGCAGCACCUUCACAGGGCUGAUCCUUGGCAGGAGCACAGGAGGCACCGCUACCAGGCCCCUGAAGGUGGGGGUGCCAAGAGGAGCCUGGUCACAGGAGGCCCAGGAGGUGACAGACGCUUGCUUACAUGGAUGGCCGGUGCCUACACUGAUUUUAUACAUAGACAACAUGCACUACACACAUGCUGCAUGCACUAAACACUGCAUUCAGUGCACACACUGCAUACAAUAGACACAGACACUGCAUCCACUACACACACUGCAUCCACUACACAAACACACACUCUGCAUCCACUACACACACACAUAAUGCAUUAAAUACACACAUUGCAUACAAUACACACACUGCAUAACCUAGUAGAUAAAGGCAUGGUUUUGGUGAGGGGUGGGGCAGCAUUUCAUCCUUGGACCCAGGCAUCACAAUGCUUUUAUUAUUCACAUAGUGGUCCCUUGAGCAGCGUCAACAGUUUUUGUAGCAUUCUCAUAAUACUUUCUUGUCUACAUUGCUGUACCUGAGCUAUGUACAAAUCUACUUGUCUUUGUUGCUGUUCCUCUUACUUCCUGUUUCUAUUUGUGCCCUGUUUGUCCUGUGUAUGCCAUAAAUUGUUCAGAGAAAACCUCUAGUGACCUGACACUAACCAGCAGUAUAUUAUACUAUAGUAGUAUAGAUACACCCAUCUUAAUUACUGUUAGUAUUCAUAAAGUUAAUAAGCAGUUUAAAUUUUGGGUGAGGUUGCCAUAAAUGUGAGAGCUUACUUACAAUUUACUGUAAAUAACAAAAAUAAAUAAAUAUAAAUAGUACACAUGCAUUUGUGAUAUUAUAAAACCACAAAAUCAAACUCUUCAACAGACAGCUGAACAAUAUGGGAUAAAGUCUGAAACAUUUUAGAAGUAGGAUAUAUAUGCAUAUAUUUAUGAUACAUAACAUUAACUGCAUUUUGCACUUACGAAGAAAAAUUUAAAAAUGAUAAUUAAAAUGAGCAACUAUUAAUUCUCUAACGAUUAUACGAUAGAAUAAAACAUUGAAAAUCCACUAUAGUAUGUAUGUGUUAACCUAUUUUGAGAAGAUUUUUUUGUUUUUCAAAAUUUAUAUUAAACAUUUAGAAAAUGACAUCACAAUCUACUUCAGACUAGACAAAGCAAAGUCAAGUAUUGUUUUGAAUAUUUUUAUUGGUUUCAUAACAUAAAUGCAUGUAUCAAACUAAUCCGUAGUUAAGCAUGUGAUUGUCCACGCAGGGGCCUAAGAAUUGGUUUAGCGUAUCAAACUGAUUUGUAAUAUAGCCAGUUCUCGCCCUCGCAGGGGCUGAAGCAUUGGUUUACACAGUAUGCACAUUUGGUUGCCUUCGCAGAGGCGAAUUUGUCAUAGCCAGUUUAACUUAACCUUUUGGUACAUAGCUGGGUACUUUGCGCUUUAUACUCUUAUAAUCUGUGGUGCCCAUUCGUUUUGGUUAGCAAAGUCAAGUAUUGUAAAUGAAGAGUAAUGUCAGAGUAAUCCAGGCAUCAAUCUUGCAAUCACUGUGAUGACGUGAGUCCUUCUGUUUUCAAUUUUUAAACAAAUGCUCUUCAGCUGACCAAAAGUGAGGCCGAACAUGAUUUCAAUGUCACUUUUCAUGCAUGAUGAUGCUCCUUUAGUCAAAGUGACGCUGCAUAUCAUUCCAGUACCAGUUUUGAUGCAAGUUGAUCCUUCUCUGGCCAAAUUGAGAAAAAAUUACGCCAUACAAAAGCAUGACGCCAUUCAGUGAUGCUGGCCAGUUAAGUUUUAAUGUCGUUCUAAUACCUAUAUAUUGUCAGUCCGCCAUGAGACAUGUGCUCUGUCAUGGUCUUUAGUCAGUGGUGGACUACAGCACUGCACUGGUGCGGCUUCACUGGGGCCCAGAGCAUGGGCGGGACCCGGUGCCGGGAGUUCUGCCACUGAGUUCGUGUUUAGUAAUGGGCCCUUCAAACAGUGAUGGGCCCCCUCCAGAGCAAUGGGCAUUAACGAACAGGGGUACGUUCAGGCUUUUAGAGGGAAUUGGCACCCAACCAGGCCUCUGUUCAUCGCCAUCCAUCACACUGGUCUGUCUCCCCAAACGCUCUGGGCCCCAGACUCUGGACUCAUCAAUGUCCUGUGAUCUCAAGCAGCUGACAGCCUGUAACUUCCUUCUACCUAUAAUGAGAACAGGUGCGAAAGGAAGCACAGGGAGCAGGAAGAAAGAAAGGAGUGAGCUGCUGCCCACACAUAAGCAAACAGUACAUCUAGCAAGUCACACUCCUACAGACAAAGGUAAGCUAACAGGAGGGUGCCUGUAAAUAUAAAUACAAUGACAUAUGUGUGUGUUAAUAUCAGUGUGUGUCUAUCAGUAUCUCACUAUGUAUAUGUAUCAGUGUAUCUGAGUGUGUGUUUCUGUUCCGGUAUGUGUACCUGCGUGUCAGUAUGUGUUUCUCAGUGUGUAACUUUUUGUCAGUGUGCGCAUCUGAGUGUGUAUCUUUGUAUCGGUGCAUAUUUGUGUCUGUCAAAGUGUGUGUGUGUGUAUUUAUGUGUCAGUGUAUCUGAGUGUGUGUGUAUGUGUGCAAGAGUGUGUAUUUAUAUGUCACUCUGUGUAUCUGAAUGUGUAUCUUUGUGUCAGUGUGUAUUUGAAUUUAUGUGUGUAUGUGUGCCAGUGUGUGGAUCUGAGUGUGUGUGUAUGUGUCAUUGGGUAUAUGAAUGUGUGUGUGUUUUUGUAUCUGUGUGUUAACGUGUAUGUAUACCUGUGUAACAAACAUACUAUUGUAUUCAAAUGCAAACACAAGUUUGCCACUGCAUUCUAAUGGCAACAGUACAUACAAAUACACUCCUACAUGCACAUAGUCUAUACAACAGCAUGCUUACAUUUAAAAGUACAAACAUUGCUUACAAAUACAACCCCGCAAGGAUGGGCAUAUGUAAGAUCUCCAGCUCACAUAGCACUGUGCGCUAGAGAGGUGCCAAAAAAAAUCCUUGUACCAGGGCCCUCUCUACAUUAGUUCCGGCACUGUCUCUAGUAGCCAAAGAGUGUGUUUUGAUUGUGUUAGCCUUUUCUGGUGUUUUUACCUUGUCUUGUUUACUAAGUAUUCUGAUCUCUCUAAUCCCGUCUUUGGCUUAUCUCACCAUCUCGCUGUCCUUCUGUAUUUCUUAACCUCUGCCUGUUAUUUGACCAUUCUUACCAGUGGUGUAUACUGGUUUUGUGCUGCCCUAGGCAGGACAAAACUCAGGCACCCCACCCCGCCCUUCCCCCCUGCCCUGCCUUCUAAAUACACACACACAUUCACUGACAGAUACGCAUACACUAGCUAACAGACAUACACACACAGACACACACACUCAUUCACAUUAACACACUCACUUUUUAAAAAAAAUUUAACCCCCCCAGCCUUUGGGAAUGCUGGGGGAGUGGUUCUCCCUCUCCCUGUGGUCUAGUGGGGCUGCUGUGCAGUCGGUCGGGCGGCGGCGAUGGCGAGGGAGCACUUUCCCCUGAGCUUUCUGCUCAGCUCCCUCGCGCGCCGCAUAGUGAUGCCGGGGGCUCCAGGUGACCACCCGCCUGCCCGACAGACCGGAUUGUUAGCCGCAAGGCUAACAAGACAUUUGCCCUGGGCAUUUGGGGCGGCUUUUUUUGCCGUCCCCUGGAAAAUGCCGCCCAAGGCAAAUGCCUUGUUUGACUCACGGCUAAUACGUCCCUGAUUCUUACUCUUGUCUGUGGCAGAUAAUUUUUUUGAGCUGGACCAUUUUUUAGGAAAAUUAAAACAUUUUCAUUAUAUGUUGGUUCGGCUCAAAAGAAUUUCGGUAAUGAAAAACUGAUUUGGAAAAUGAAUUAGAUGAACCAAAAGGUUGUGAAAUGGGCCAAUCAGUGUACUGAAAAAUAUAUACAUAAUAUGAAUAUUGCGUGUAUAUGUAUAUAUAAUAUAUUAUAUGCACAUGGUAUUCAUAUUGUUUAUAUUUUGCAGUACACUGAUUGUCCCAUUAUAUAUUUAUCAGUACACUGAUAGGAACAAUUUCACACCAUUUGGUUCACAAAUCAAAUAAGAAACAUUCACUAGAUCUGUGAAUAAAAUCAGCAUUUAGUUACUGUCCCUAUCCAUUAAUCAUCUCCUUUUUGGUUAUAUUGGGCGGCCAUCGAAUGUUUUGUUUGGUUUGUGAUUCUUGACAAGGAGAAAUGGAAGCAUUGUUUAAUUUCUACUCUGUAAGUUUUCUCUUUGUUGACUAAAUAAAGUGAAAGUAACAACGCACUAACCAAAAUAGAUAUACAGCUUUAAAUAUUAUAUUUAUUUUUGUAUAUAUUUGGUCUUUACAGCAGUAUCACUGCAUACAAAUGCAUGUUCUGAGUGUGCCCUAAAUUCCCAUUUUUUCCGCUGUAGAUUUGGAAUCUAGACCAUAUUCGUAUUGGGCUGAUUACCACACCCAUCUUCUAUGGGUGAGAUGCUAUGCCCAUUUAAAAGUGUCUACCAGGAAGCAUACAUUGAGGAGUUUCUUGAAGCAGCUUAAUCUGUAAGUAUUGCAAGUUAGCAUGUAAAUCUCCCAUGUUAAAAUUUGUGUAGGACCCACCGAUAUUGGGUUACUGUGACGUACUGGUGGGCUUAAAACCAUGUGGCCAUAUGGUGUCACUGAAUCCUCAUAUUUCUUUGCUAAGGUAGGUGAUUUUAAGUAGCCUUGUAAAAUUUAAAGCUGUAUUUUUAUUUUUUGUGUGUGCACUGUUCCCUUAACUGUAUUUUGUAUAUGUUUUGGUCUUUAUGGCUGCACCACUACUUAGAAAUGCAUGUUUUGGGUGUGUCCCCAAUUUCCAUUUUUUUUCUCUAUAUUGAUUGCCAUGGAUAAAGGACAGGGAUUUUAACAAUGAUUGACAAGGAGCUAAGAUGGAGGAGGUGCCCAUAUGAAAGAUAAGAUGUGUGGAUUUCUUCAUUUAAUGUUUUUUUUUUUUGCAAGGUUUUUUUUAAUAUAAAUAUAGAGAUAAUUGUACAUAAUAUUAAAAAUAAUGUGAACAAAAUGUAAAAAAAAAAAAAAAAACAAUCAAAAUCAAUAUGGCAUCAGUUCUUUGUAGUGAAUAAUUUUUUUCAAGAAAUUUAAUUCAAAUUAAACAUCUAAAAACAAUUAUGAAUGUUUUGUAACAUUUAAUAAGGUCUGGAACUCAGCUCUAGUCUAAACCUGUUUGUUUAUUCACAGCCAACUUAAUUACACUUAUUACUUGGCAAACAAAGAACUUCUACUUCACUAAUCAUGUCUCUGGGAAAGAGCAGAGCGUUAAUGUUUUAUUAAAAAUUAAAAGAUAAUUGUGAUGUCAACAAUGAAGAAGAGACAGGAUUACCAUUAAUGUUACAUUGCAUUUGUUGUACUGUUGAACAUGUUUAUUCUUGGCCAUCUAGUAGCAGAUUAGAUUUAAUAUAGACGAUCCCACUGUACAGUGCUGAGAACAUUAUAUAUCACUGUCAAUGGGCAGAGAGUGAGUGCAAUUUACCCAGAAAGAUUUUGUGCACUUACCAUAUAAUACAUACAAAAUAAUAGGUGGAGCUGUAAAGUCUCUUGAACAAUCUGUAAAACAGAAUGAAUGCAGAUAGCGUAGUAUGUCUAUACAGUAUAUUGCAUAAUAGAGGUAAGAUGAUUGAACUCACAAGACUAGAGUCAUACCGACAUAUGACUCUAAAAGUAUGCUCCCUUGAACCAUUGGGGGGUUGUCCAAACCCUUCUUUCGUUGUUUUCUUGAUGUUCCCCCUUGUGAUCCUUAGAGUGUCUCCAAGAAGUCAGGACAUGAUGUAGGACGACAUAGAAAUACUAUGCAAUAUCAGAGAACACUGAAACAUCAUCUAAGAUACAAUAAAUACCAUGACACUAUAAGAAAGGAAUAUCAGAGACAUGACAACUACGACAAACCUACAAGGGGAAAUACUAAGUCUCACCACGUAUCCCCGGUGAGACGUCCUAAAUAUAGUAGUUACAGUCAAGCCGUACAAUCAAAUAUUCCAGAGAGAAGAGAUCAGAAAUCAGUUCCAACAUCAUAUGUGUUGAAUAGAACAGAGAGACAACCACAUAUAUCUAGAACAGAAGUAGAAAAACAAUCUAAUACACCUAGAACAGAACCCUCACCUGUUUUAUGGAAAGACCCGAUCUCAGAGAGACUAAAAUUGACACGCCAGGUCAAAAUUUGGGAAUCUCCGGGCAAACGCCAGAGGUCAUUAACACAAGAAAGAGACAUAGAAGGAGAGGAAAACAGACACAGGGAAAAGAUAACAAUGGAAGGUAUUUUUAAUCUAACAGAUACACAAUUACCUAAAGACCAAAUGGAAAUACUCCAAAAGGGUUUAAAAUUUGCCCCCACAGUAGAUAUUAAUAAGUUUGAUUUUUAUAUUGAUAUUAAUAAAUUUAUUAGACAAUUGUGUUUAAAAAAAAUUUCUAUAACAAAGAGGAUAGAUUAAGUGAAGAUAUGACAUCUGAAUACAUACAUAUAGAUUUAAAAGCAAAAUCUAAUUUUUUUCCAAAACACCUAAUAUCAGAUGAAAUAAAGGCAUUUGAACUGAUGGUAAUGAAGGAAGUGAAAAAGAUGAAACCGCUAAAUAGUUACCAUCAAAAUAUGUCCAGAAAAGAAAGGGAAGCAAUAAAAAACUUACAACAAAACAAGGAGAUAGUAAUUAAACCAGCGGAUAAGGGGGGAGGGGUAGUAUUAAUUCCGAAAAAUAAAUAUUUAUCAGAAGCUGAAAGAAUACUUUCAGUAUGAGACAUGUAUAAAAUAUUAGAUAAAAAUGCAACUGAAAUCGUGAAAACAAAGUUUGAUAAUUAUAUAACCAAAGGAUUAGAAAAAGGCAUCCUGACAUCGCAGGAAGCUAAAUACUUGACCACCCCCCACCCGAUAAUGCCGGUAUAUUACCAUCUUCCUAAAAUACAUAAGAACAAAGAAAAUCCCCCAGGACGACCUAUAAUAUCAGGCGUAAAUUCCAUUUCAGCAAAAAUUUCAGAAUAUUUAGAUCACCUCUUACAACCAUUAGUUAUUAAAAACACUGCUUAUCUAAAAGAUACUAUCCAUAUUCUACAAAUUUUAGAAACUACCCCAUGGCAAGACGGCAAUCUAUUAGUCACGUGUGACGUGACAUCUUUAUAUACUAUCAUACCACAUGAGAAGGGCCUAGAAGCAGUACAAUAUUUUUUUUUUAAAAAACACAAUUUUAAGGAAGAACACAUUUUAUUUAUUUUAGAAGGGAUAAAUUUAGUUUUAACCAACAACUUUUUCUGGUUUAAUGAAGUGUUUUAUCUACAGAUCAGAGGUACGGCGAUGGGUACCAAGUUCGCCCCCAGCUAUGCAAAUUUAUUCAUGGCAUAUUGGGAAGAACAGUUUAUUUACCAAGGACAUUCAUGGGGGGCGAACUUGGUGAACUAUCGCCGGUAUAUAGACGACAUAUUUUUUAUUUGGACAGCAUCACAUACAGAUUUACUUUCUUUUAUCAGUUAUCUUAACAACAACCAGUGGAACAUUAUUUUAACAGCACAGAUUAGCACUCAACAGAUCAACUUUUUAGAUUUAGAGAUAUUCAUAACACACGGUGCUAUUACCACUAAGAACCAUUUUAAGGAAGUUGAUGCCAAUAGCUAUAUUAGAAGAGAGAGUUGCCACCAUACCCCUUGGUUAAGCAAUGCUCCCAAGGGACAAUUCCUACGUAUAAGAAGGAAUUGCACAAAUGAACAAGAUUUCUUGGAACAGGCAAAUAAAAUUAAAGUUCAAUUCUUGGAAAAAGGAUACAAUGAGGCUUCCCUCCAAUCAGCUAUUAACGAGGUUCAAAAAACACAAAGGACAGACCUUUUAAUAUAUAAACAGAAAAAGAAAGACUUAAAUUGGAACCAAGACAUCCCCUUUAUAUGCAAUUACCAUGGCAAUAGUAGAAAAAUUAAUAAAGUUAUAGCAAAGUAUUGGCACAUACUGAAAGAUGACCCAAUUCUUAAAAAUCUAUUGCCAGAAAAACCAAAAAUAAUUUUUAGAGGCGCAAAAAAUUUAAGAAAUACUUUAGUUCAAAGUAAUAAUAAAGAACAAACAAUAGGUAAAACUUUUUUUGCAAUGAGCAAAGGCUUUUAUGGAUGCGGGCAAUGUCUAGCAUGUAAGAAUACCAAGAGUAAAAAGAGACAUCUAAUAGAUUUAGAACCCGUUAUUAACAAGAAAUACACUAUAAGAGAUCAUUUAACAUGUCAUUCGAAGGGAGUUAUUUACAUUUUAAAAUGUCCAUGUAAUCUUUUAUAUGUAGGGCGCACAAUUCGAAGCUUAAAUAUAAGGAUAGCGGAACAUGUAAGAAAUAUCAAAAAUGGGGUAGAAACCCACAGUGUUUCGAAUCAUUUUAAACAUGUUCACCAACAAGAUCCAGAAGGAAUGUUUUUUUGUGCAUUACAACUAGUAAAAAAAGAUUGGAGAGGGGGUGAUUAUGUGAACAAAAUAGGAAAAGUAGAAAUUAAGUUUAUAUUUAAUUUUAAUACUAUGAUUCCAUAUGGACUAAAUAAUGACUUUGAACUGUGCCACUUUAUGCAUCAAUCUUAGCCUAUUAUACCUUUGUACCACUUUUACUAUUUUAUGGAAACAUUUAAAAGUUUUUAGAUACUAUUUUUUAUCUAUUUGUUAUUUUUAUUAUGGAUCAUUAUAUAAUUUUCUUCCUUUUUUAAUAAUUGAGUAUCAGGUUUUUUCUUUUGAAUAGAUUGUUUUUGUCUAGUUUAAAAAGGAACUAGAUCUGCUUCUAAAUGUGAUAUUCUGUCCCCUUAAGGUUGGGAUAGGAUAAUCUUUCAAUAAUUUUUAUAAUUGAUAGAAUCUUUUUUACCUCCAAUUGUUUAUUAGAUCAUUAUCUACAUAGAUUUUAAACAUUUUUAACUUUUAAAUGUUUUUCUCUCUUUUGUCAUAUACACAAAUUGGGGUCCCUAUUUGGUCUGAUAUAACAUGGUUUUAUAUAACCUUCUUUUACCAUAUUUUUACAAUGUUAUGUUCAUCUGUUUUAUCCAAUUAUGAUAGAUGCUCUGUGCAAGAUAUAUAGGUGGAACGCAUAUGCAUAUGCGUUCCAACCUCACUCUGCCUAACAGUGCUGAGUGGCUACCCGAUGUGAAUUUAUGGUUGGAACGCACGUGCGUUCCAUUUAGACGCGACCCGGAAGUGAAUGCCAAGGGGCUGCCCCAUGUUAUCCACGGUUGGUGCGCACGUGCGUUCCAUUUAGACGCGACCCGGAAGUGAACGCCGGGGUUGGAACCCACGUUGCGUUCCAACAAACGGAACCCGGAAGUAACACAUAAAGAGGGCGAAACCGGCCAGCGGGAUUUUCAAAAAGGAAAGAAUAUUAGAGGAGACAUCAGAGCCAACUGAGGAAGCCUGUUAAUCAGGCGAAACGCGUUUUGGACACUCAUUUUUUAACCCAUAUUGGACUUCACCUAUAUCCAAUAUUUAUUGGUUGGUAUAGUGUAUUGUUAUUUUUUGUUAUUUUAUUACCUUUUUCUGUUAUAAUAAACAAAUACCAAUAUUCAAAGAUCUUCUGUGUAUUGGGCACUUCUUGGAGACACUCUAAGGAUCACAAGGGGGAACAUCAAGAAAACAACGAAAGAAGGGUUUGGACAACCCCCCAAUGGUCCAAGGGAGCAUACUUUUAGAGUCAUAUGUCGGUAUGACUCUAGUCUUGUGAGUUCAAUCAUCUUACCUCUAUUAUGCAAUAUACUGUAUAGACAUACUACGCUAUCUGCAUUUAUUCUGUUUUACAGAUUGUUCAAGACUCUUUACAGCUCCACCUAUUAUUUUGUAUGUAUUGUAUUGUAUUUAUAGUGGUGUAAGGGAUACCACUUUAUAGGUGUUUUAGAGCUAUUUAUUUGUCUUUCACAUCGUGUACACUAUUGUUUUGUAUCACUUACCAUAUAAUGUUUCAAGCCCAGUCCUUAAAAAUCAUCCACACUGUUCUUAUUUAACUCUUAACCCCUUAAGGACCAAACUUCUGGAAUAAAAGGGAAUCAUGACAUGUCACACAUGUCAUGUGUCCUUAAGGGGUUAAAAGGAUCAAAAUCUAUGCAACCUUAACAAUCUGGUCUUUAAGUUACAUAUUCCAAAUGGUACAUAUUACUCUAUUAACAAAUCCAGGCUUUAUUAUAUGCUGAAAGAUAAAUAAGAAGGUUAUUUCUUGUAAGCAUACAAUUUUUAAGAUUCCCCCUGGAACAAUAAGGAAGGGGGGACAUGACUGCUGCCCAAGAUGGUGGGCAGGGUCAAGGAAGAUACAAUGUUGCUAAGGUUUCUUAAAGAAAGGGAGAGGGAGGGGACCAAACUUCUGGAAUAAAAGGGAAUCAUGACAUGUCACACAUGUCAUGUGUCCUUAAGGGGUUAAAAGGAUCAAAAUCUAUGCAACCUUAACAAUCUGGUCUUUAAGUUACAUAUUCCAAAUGGUACAUAUUACUCUAUUAACAAAUCCAGGCUUUAUUAUAUGCUGAAAGAUAAAUAAGAAGGUUAUUUCUUGUAAGCAUACAAUUUUUAAGAUUCCCCCAGGAACAAUAAGGAAGGGGGAACAUGACUGCUGCCCAAGAUGGUGGGCAGGGUCAAGGAAGAUACAAUGUCGCUAAGGUUUCUUAAAGAAAGGGAGAGGGCUUGAUCAGUUGAGGGCUCCUGACUGUUUUCCCACCCUCCCUCCCUGUUUCUGGUGUUGUGGCUUGUGUCUCGUGUUGUUGUUUUGUGUUGUCACAGCUUGGCGGUUUCCCUGGACAGCACAGAGGAAGAAAGGAACAUUGGGGAGACGACAGCCGGCACGGAGCUGAUGGCGAGGAGCUGGCUGUCGAGGCUCAUGGUACCAAAUGCAUGUGAGAACUGACUGUUGGGCAAACACCCAACAGCUGGCAGAUUUGGACUGAGCUAAAUUGUUAAUUUAAAUAAAGCUGUGGCCGUUGCCCUUAUCCACAAGAAUGAGGUGUCCCGUGUAUCAUUGGGGUGCAACGGGUUGUUGGUGGGGACUGGUUGGGUCAGCAGUCAAGGGCAAGAUUGUGAUGGUGACAAACAUUGCUAUGUGGUCCUUAAGGUAUAAUUAGUAAUUAUAUUAUAUAUUAUUUGAUGUCAAAUUUCCUACAUCUGAUAAACAAUAUCUGCCACUGCUUCUAAUCUUUAAAAAAAAAAGUGAAUUUAGUAAAUCUUUCCCUAAUAAAAGAUGUUCUUAGCAGAAAUAUGUCAUAAAUUUGUAAGUAUUUCUAAAGUAUUAGCAGCAUAUGUUUCAAUCUCUUUUGGAUAUUUAACUAUACUUUCCUGAUUAUAAUUUCCAUGGCCUUCUGAUCUCAUGCCACUCCUACAGAUCAAACAUAUAUUUUUUACCAAUUAAAGGACCACUAUAGUGCCAGAAAAACAUACUCGUUUUCCUAGCACUAUAGUGCCAUGAGUGUGCCCCCACCCGCCGGGUUCUGGGAAGAGGAAGGGGUUAAAAUCUUACCUUUCUCCAGCGCCGGGCAGGGAGCUCUCCUCCUCCUUUCCUCCUCCAUAGCGACGUCAUCAGCUGAAUGCGCAUGCGCGUCAGGAGCCGCACGCGCAUUCAGCCAGUUCAUAGGAAAGCAUUUACAAUGCUUUCCUAUGGACACUGGCGUCUUCUCACUGUGAUUUUCACAGUGAGAAGCACACAAGCGCCUCUAGCGGCUGUCAAGAGACAGCCACUAGAGGCUGGAUUAACCAUAUUAUAAACAGUGCAGGUGCAGGUGAAGGUAGUUUUUACUUGACUUAAAAGGUCCUUUGUAUGCAUCUUCUUUCUCAAGGUCCUCUUCAGCUCCUGGAGCGUUAAUCUGCCAGGAGCCAACGGAAGCGCUCUACUCAAGUGUAUGCAUUAGCUCUGUCUUUUGUCAAAAGUAGAAAAAAUACUUAAGAUAAAGUUGUUCCUGUUUGCUCUUAAUUUGUGGGCGUCGCAGGGAUGCUUUAAGUCAAAAUUGAAAGUGCUCUAUCAUUCUUUCUAUUCUACACCUCUAAUCCUCAACAUGGAAAUUGUAGUUUGUAAUAAUAGAAAAUAUGUAGAUUGUAAUAUGCUUUCUGGUUACGUUCUGGUGAGUUAUAACUUAAUUUUUUAUUUUUACAGCUACCGAGGGAACGAGCAAACCGCCUUGAGGAGUCCCUGCAUAAGAGACUAGUGGAUACAGAAGGCUAUACUAAAGGAAGAUCUCAUCACAGCAUCAUCCAAGCCCUAGUCAGGAGUAUAUGAGGCCUCUUAAGAGUAAAGAGCGGCUAACAAUAUCUGAUAAUAGGCCACAUGUGCAAUUAUUAUGUAUGUAAUUAAUGUACAACAUACUUUUUCACUUUUUUGUUACAUUAGAAAUUAACAAAUAUGGAUAGACUUUUUGUUUACUGCUGCCUUAAAAAAAUAAUAUUAAAACUCCAAACAAUUUUGAAAUGUGCAGUGAAAUGUGUAUCUGUAAUCAACGUUAACCUGCUAAUUAUUGUGGGACAAUGGAGAGCAACCCCAAACUGGUACUCUAUCAAACAAUCCAGGACUGUUAGGAAAUAUGGCUUUGUAUCAAACUAUGAUAAUUUAUGGUGUACAUGUCACUGUGCCUAUGGAAAGUUUUGCUUAUAACUGUGAUGACUUUCAAAAGAUAGCAAUAAGGGGGCGUGGCUUAGCGGGCAACGCGGAUGGACGCACGGGACUGAGCUCCGCUCCCAGCUAGCCCUAAAAGCGACAAAAAAAAAGCAUUGCCUGCGGGAAAAAACGGAACCCCCGACUCACCCAACGAUGUCCCACCCAAAGCACAAGAAGCAAGCGGAAAAAUCCGACAGGUCGGAGUUCUUCGCGGUCCGAGCCUCGACACCGAAAGCUACAGGCCUGCUGGACCAGGCCCAAGAUGGCGACGGAGGGAAAGAUACACUGCCGCUAAGGACGCCCACGGGCUCCCACAACCUACCAGUCACGCAAGACUUUCUGCAGACAUGCUUGGAGGAUAUGUCCAGCAAAAUCCUGGCGUCCAUCCAAAGCACCCUGAGGGAACUCAGCAAAGACGUGCAGGAGCUGGGGGACAGGACCGCGCGGGUGGAACAGCGCGUGGAGGAGCAGACAUCUGCUCAUAAUGAGCUGGCAGACCAAGUGCACAACCUGCAGCAGCUACUGGACCAGUCCCAAAGGAAAAUCAUGGAUCUGGAAGACCGCUCACGACGACAAAAUCUGAGAAUUAGAGGCAUACCGGAGGAGGUGUCUCAACAAGAUCUGCACCCCUUCCUCAUGGAGUACUUCAAAGCACUGACCCCCGAGUUACCAGCGGAGAUGCUGAUCCUGGACAGGUACCACAGGGUCCAAAAGCCAGCGUUCCUGCCGCAAGACACACCAAGGGACGUGCUAACCCACCUCCACUACUUCCACGUAAAAGAGGCAAUUCUCCAGGCCACGAGAGGGCAAAGAGAUCUGCCACAAAAAUUCACCCACAUAAAAAUUUUCACGGAUCUGUCAGCGGCUACAUUACAGAAAAGGAAAGAAUUCAAAACGACCACAGAGGCCCUGCGCAACAAUGGCGUCCAGUACCGGUGGGGAUACCCGGUCUGCCUGCUGAUCAGGAGGAAUGGCACACUGACAACGGUCAACACGCCAGAGGAAGGCCACAAACUACUGCGCAGCUGGGGCAUUCAACCAACCCAGGCAGGGGCAAAGGCUGCAGAUCAGCGCAGACUGUCUCCGGAGUGGAAGAGGGACAAAAAAUGAUCCCACCAAGGGAUUCCAAGCAAGAGAUGGGACUUAACAGAGACUCCAGAGGGAGCAGUCGGACAAUGGGCCGCAAGUAUACCUGACACACAUGACACGUACACUCAAACCCUAUCACUCGUUGUACAACACACACAGCCACACCAUUCACAUGGCACAUGUCAGUGCCCAGCACACUAAAUAGAGACAGAGAGAGGAAAAAAAAAAAAAAACUCACUCACAACAACUUGAUAGGAGCCCAGACCUAUACACAGGCCUGUCUAGACGCUACACCCCAGACACGCUAGAACUCAUACCCAUCUCACCUUUCACCAUUUAGCCGCAAACCACACGCAGGCAAAAAGAAAGCGAGUAAUGGGCAUAGCAUGCUCACCUGGCUACACCGCACACAUCACUCAUCAGAGUUCACCACGUACCCCAAUGGCACCAUACAAUGGGUGCCCCACCCUUCAGUGGGAAAUGUUCAAUUGUAAUACUGUGAUAUUGUAUGUUUUGUUUUAUGUUGCACUGUUUACCCCAAAGGUCUUGCAUAAGGUUAGCAUGACUGCUUCCACCCUUGCACACCACCCCACCCUUCCCCCCACCACCAGACAGGUUGGAGACCACGUAGCACAUAUCCGAGAUGGAGACCAUAGGACCCAGGGAGGGGUAGCACACCAGACACUGACCCCCAAAGUCAAAAGCAAGAUACUUCAACACCACACAACAAAAUAUGAAGAUACACUGUCAUAACGUAAAAGGUUUAAACACCCCAGUAAAACGAUAUUGCCUCAUAAGAGAUCUGCGCAGGGAAUGCCCCGAUGUAGUGUGCCUGCAGGAAACACACCUCAAAAAAUCAAUAACCCUAGCCCAGGCGCAGUACACAGCUCAAUUCCAUAGCACCUCCACGUCCAAAACGAAAGGGGUAUCCAUCCUCAUCAGCAAGGAUGUGUCCUUCAAACCGUUAUACAUAUCCAUAGACAAAGAAGGACGAUAUAUUAUCAUUAUAUGCGAAAUCAACAAUUUAGAAUAUACGAUAGUCAACCUAUAUGCACCCAACACACACCAGAGGAAUUUCUUACAUAAAGUCAUCACACUAGUGCAAUCGGUCCAGAGGGGCAUUACUAUAUUAUGUGGGGAUUUCAAUCACAUACUGGACCCCAAAUGGGAUACCACAGUACAGCUAAACACCUCCAGAUCAGCUACCCUCCAGAGGGAAUGCAAACCACUAGUACGCUUGCUCAAAGAACACGAUUACUACGACGCAUGGAGAUUGCAACACCCUGGGGAGAGGGACUACACCUUCCUCUCUCAAGUACAUAACACUUACUCACGUAUUGACGGGUACUAUAUAAAAGGUGCCCACCUCAACCACAUCAUGUCCUGCACGAUAGGUACCAUAACGUGGUCAGACCAUGCCCCAAUAACCUUAGUGCUAUGCGACGCAUAUGACUACAAGCACCGAAGCCCGUGGAGAUUAAAUGAAUCUCUACUGACAGACCGACAAUACUGCGACACAGUCAAAGACGACCUCUCCAACUACUUUGACACGAACACAACUCCAGACAUAUCACCAGAAACACUGUGGCAGGCCCACAAACCAGUUGUAAGGGGACUCCUUAUAGGGAAAGCAAGUGCAAUAAAAAGGGCAACCCAAACAAAAAGAAAAGAAUGGCUGACUACCCUCUACAAUCUAACCAAACAGAACCAACUCACACCAACCCCACAGCUCCUAGAACAAAUUAAACGAGUAAUAGACGAAGGCAAAAAACAUGACCUAGUAAAAAUGGGGUUCACAAUGCGGAAGCUUCAGGCAGCCCACUACACCCAGGGAAAUAGAGCCAGCAAACUCUUAGCGAGGAGACUGUCGCAAAGGAACGCACAAACAAAAAUCCCAUUCAUACUGAACUCAGAAGGGGAAAAAAGGGUUACACCCAAAGACAUCAGCGACGUGUUUGCCGACUACUAUACGACCCUGUACAACCUGGGUCGGGACCCCAAUACCCCCCAACCGUCACAAACACGAAUAGAACGAUACCUGGAGGGUAUCUCACUGCCGGGCCUUACUGAGGACCAGAGGGAGGGCCUACAAGCCCCUAUCACAGAGGAAGAAGUGCUACAGGUAAUAGCGAGCCUCCCCAAGGGGAAAGCACCAGGACCCGAUGGGUUUACCAACGCGUACUAUAAACGAUUUGCUGCCACUCUUGCACCACACCUAACAAACACCUUUAAUGCCAUCACCCGAAAAGCAGAAGCCCCAGCAGACAUGCUAGGAGCCCACAUUAUAACACUUCCCAAACCAGGCAAACCACCCACAUGUAGUCAAAACUUCCGGCCAAUAUCCUUACUAAACACAGACACAAAAAUCUACGCUAAAAUACAGGCAAACAGGCUAAAACACAUCAUCCCUACACUGAUACAUGAUGACCAGGUGGGCUUUACCACAGGUAGACAGGGAUCAGACAACACGAGGAAAGUGAUCGACCUCAUACAUAGCCUAAGGCAAAAUCGGACGGAGGGUGUCUUACUCUCCUUGGACGCAGAAAAGGCCUUUGAUCGCCUUAAUUGGCCUUUUCUAGAAGCAGUGCUCCAAAAGUACGAGUUCCCUAGAUCAUUUAUAAAUGGGGUAAAAGCACUAUACUCCCACCCCACAGCAAGGGUACUCAAUGCAGGAUUUGUGUCCAAACAAAUCAACAUAACGAAUGGGUCCAGGCAGGGGUUCCCCCUGUCCCCACUAUUAUAUAUCCUGGCGCUGGAGCCCCUUGCAGCGGCGAUGAGGGCAGAACCAUCCAUACAGGGCAUCACAAUAGGAGACAGGGAGUACAAGCUCAAUCUAUUUGCAGAUGACAUCCUAGUAACGCUCACACAGCCCCUAAUCUCCCUGCCAAAUUUGAUGCUACACAUAGAAUCAUAUGGUGAAGUAUCAUAUUACAAAUUGAAUGUCACCAAGACACAAGCAUUGGGGAUGCAUCUAGGCACAAACCUCACGUCCAGACUGAGAGAGGCAUUCCCCUUAGACUGGAGAAACGACCACCUAACCUUUCUGGGCCUCAAACUAACAAAAAACCCUGAUAAAUUAUUCCACCACAACUAUGUACGCAUGCACAAAGAGUUCACAGACUCCAUGCAAGCAUGGAAGGGAAAAUACCUGUCAUGGACAGGACGCAUAGCAGCAGUCAAAAUGUCGCUAAUACCAAAAAUCCAAUACCUUUUCCGUACGCUACAGAUAUCCCUACCAAAGCAAUACCUCAAAAAUAUGCAGCACUCCAUCAGUGCCUUCAUUUGGGAGGGGAAAAAAGCAAGAGUGGCAGCAGGGACGUUACAGCAGACAGUCCGCAGGGGGGGGUUGGGCCUCCCGAACUUAACGGCUUACUAUAGAGCAGCAUACCUCCAUAACAUAACACAAAUAAACCUCACCGCCAAGGCACCACAAUGGGUAGCCAUAGAAGCGCACUGGGCACCCAGAAGGGACCUACGAGCACUGAUAUGGCAAGGAAACUGCCCUAAGCACACCCGGGACAAACUCUUGCCCAGCACCCAGACCCUUCUACAAAUAUGGCACAAAAUAAGAGAUAAACUGGUGGCAAAACAAAAGCUUCCCAUGGCCACACCAAUCCAAACAGUAGGGCUGGACAUCCCAACUUUCCCGUGGGAGACAUGGGUGAAAGGGGGGAUACACCAUAUAUAUCAGGUGAUAGACAGGGGGCGACUGAAAUCCCUACCGGCAAUUCAGGAGGAAUACACACUGCCCAAUAAGGUCAUAUUCUCUUACAUGCAACUAAAAUCCUACGUCUCAAGUAAACUAGACGCCGAAGAUAAAUGGGACGAUGAACUGAAUAUGACGAGACUUGAAAAACACUGUGUGGGCAAAAAGACACUGGGGAAAACCCUAUCAUGGGGAUACCAGGAGCUAAUAGCAACACGAACACAAACACUAGAUAAGAUCAAACAGGCGUGGCACCAAGAGCUAGGCCAGACGUUUCCAGAAGACACAUGGGACCGGGUAUAUCUGGCGCACCAGGGACUCACAGCAUGCCACACACACCUAGAACUACAAUGCAAACUAUUGUACCGCUGGUACUUAGUACCUGACAAACUCCAAAAGAUGUGGCCAAACACUACCAACAAAUGCUGGAGAUGUGGGAGUGAGGUGGGGACCAUGCUACAUAUCUGGUGGUCCUGCGCCACACUUAGCCCAUUUUGGAAGGAGGUGACCCAACAUUUACAAAAAAUACAUCCGACACCCAGGUUAGAUAACCCACAAACAUGCAUCUUGUUUAUGUUGCCCAAGGGCAUUCCGAAGCACAUUAGGACGAUUCUCUAUCACACCCUCAUAUCAGCAAACCUGAUGAUAUCCAGGUUGUGGAAAAAAACAAUAACCCCCACUAUCCAGGAUGUGAUAAAACAGGUAGAACAAAACUGGGAGUACGAACUUAUGACAGCGGCACAAUUUGGGAAACGCACUCAUAUACUUGAGGCACACAAGACUUGGAAGGCUAGCACGACAUCCGAGGUAUGAGGGCGGGAAGCUGGAGAUAAGCUAUAACCACACUAGUGGGCAGAAAGCAAACCACCCAUCAAGGCCCACAAAAGGUGGCGUCGCCAGCAUAUACUAGGUGUGCAAGCAAACGCCCCAGAUUACAUCAUGCAACAGGUAGUGGGAGAUACGCCAGGGACAACCUUUGUCAACCACAUAACGGGGAAAUGUAAAUAUACCUAGGAGCCCAUGCACAACAGUCUAAUGAUAUAAUGGUAUAAGAGUAUAACUGUAUAACCGUACAACUGUUUACACGCGAAUGGUGAUUAGCGGGGAAAUAUACAUAUAUCUGGGAACCCACGUAAAAGUGGAUAAUUGUAUAACUGUAAAAUUGUAUAACUGUAUAAUUGUAUAACUGUAUAAUGGUAUAUUGGUAUAAUGGUAUAACUGUCUACCUGCACAACUGCUUAAACACGAAUGUUGAUAACCUGUCUCCCCCCUCCCCCCCCACUUCCUUUCUGUACCCCCAAGUUCGCAUACUCGAAAAAGUCAAUAAAAAAUUCAAAUUCGAAAAAAAGAUAGCAAUAAGCAGAGUAAGAAGUUGCUCUUUAAAGGGACAUUAUAGGCACCAAGACCACUUCAUCUCGUUGAAGUGGUUUGGAUGCAGGGUCUAUGUCCCCUUAACCCUGCAAUGUGAAAUAUUGCAGUUUCUGAGGAACUGCAAUAAUUACCUUGCAAGGUUAUCUCAUCCUCUAUUGGCUGUCCACCAGACAGGCACUAGAGGCGCUUCAGGUCCUUAGCAGAGACCAACUACAUGAAAUGACACUGGACAUCCUCACGCUUUGCAUGAGGACAACCAGUGUCUUUAAAAACGCUAUAGAAAAGCCUUGAGUUAAUGCUUUCCGAUGUGGAAGCACAAAUGUGUGCGCAGGAGGGACCUGAUGUUGGCGGAGCCUGACCUAACAAUCAGGUAACUGACAAAAAGGGUGAAGAGGGUGUUAGAAAUACAGUUUGAUAUUCCUAGCACCAUAGGUUUAUUUUAAAACAAAGAGUCUUUACUCCAUUUCUAAAUUUAUAUAGGUUCCCAAAACAUCACGCCAAAAAGGCACUCCAAUCUGUGUUCAACAAUAGAACCUGAGGUCUUUUUUGUGUUUUCGCCUCUGAAAUCCACCAUCUCAUCCCCCUGCUGUAGAAUUGCAGUGAUGUCAUACAAUGGGACACAGCAAGUGCUGUUAUUAUUUAUAGCUAAGUAACACAAAUAGCAUGUCAAGGUGUCAGCAAUAUACUUUAUUUCUUCAAAGUUAAUAUGCAGUUUACACUUUAUAUGUAUAGUGAAAAAAAUAUAAAAGUCAAUGCGGAAACUGGCUAAAAAAAAGCAGAGUGUCGUAUCCAACAUGGAGAAAGUUCAAUCACCGGUACAGAAAGGCUGUAUGGCAUUAGGAAGGCAGUAUCUUUAUAAUAUAAUAGUCUCUCUAUCUGGGCCGUCCAGGAUUAUUAAUCACUGGUUGAUGAAGGUUACUUCAUGUCUUCAGCAUGUGUUCCGAAGCAGUCAUAUGGAAGUUUUCUGUAGAAGAAGGUAAUCUCUUCGGUUUCAGCAGGUCUAGGUUAAUGGUGGUGGGUUUUUUCUCUGGCACUGGAACCAGUAAAGGAGUGUAAAAUUGAGAGGAUCACCUUGUUUUUCCCACAAAUCUAAGAAAACUCAGAACAGAAGAUUGAGGAUAGUGGUUAACAACUUAAUGAAACUGCAAACACUAAAACUAACUUGAAAAAAAAUAACAACAUUCACAGUGUAAGCAGUGUGUAGGUGGCACGGCCACAGUGUAAGCAUUGUUUAGGUGAUACGGUCACAGUGUAAGCAGUGUGUAGGUGGCACGGUCACAGUGUAAGCAGUGUAUAGUCGAUACGGUCACAGUAUAAGGCAAUGUUUAUGUGAUACGGUCACAGUAUAAGGCAAUGUUUAUGUGAUACGGUCACAGUAUAAGCAGUGUUUAGGAGAUACGGUCACAGUGUAAGCGGUGUGUAGGUGGCACGGUCACAGUGUAAGCAGUGUGUAGGUGGCAUGAUGACAGUAUAAGCAGUGUUUAGGAGAUACGGUCACAGUGUAAGCAGUGUUUAGGCGGCACGGUCACAGUGUAAGCAGUGUAUAGGCGAUACGGUCACAGUAUAAGGCAAUGUUUAUGUGAUACGGUCACACUAUAUAAGGCAAUGUUUAUGUGAUACGGUCACACUAUAUAAGGCAAUGUUUAUGUUAUACGGUCACAGUAUAAGCAGUGUUAGGAGAUACGGUCACAGUAUAAGCAGUGUUUAGGAGAUAGGGUGACAGUAUAAGCAGUGUUUAGGAGAUACGGUCACAGUGUAAGUAGUGUUUAGGCGGCACGGUCACAGUGUAAGCAGUGUAUAGGCGAUACGGUCACAGUAUAAGGCAAUGUUUAUGUGAUACGGUCACACUAUAUAAGGCAAUGUUUAUGUUAUACGGUCACAGUAUAAGCAGUGUUUAGGAGAUACGGUCACAGUAUAAGCAGUGUUUAGGAGAUACGGUCACAGUGUGAUCAGUGUUUAGGUGAUACGGUCACAGUAUAAGCAGUGUUUAGGAGAUACAGUCACAGUAUGAGCAGUGUUUAGGAGAUACGGUCACAGAAUAAGCAGUGUUUAGGUGAUACAGGCGUUUAAUUCUCCAUAGUCAUGGUAUUUAUGGUUACCUCAUAAGUAUUACAGUCACUCACAUUGGUUGAAUUGGCACAUGGAUACACAUGUGAGCAGUAACGCCACGUCAAGGCUUCAACACUUGUUACUGACCACUCACACACACCAUACUUUUCAUUCAUACGCAUUCGGUAUUCCAGAUGUUUUGGACCACACCUUCCAUAAUGCUUUGCCAGCAUUAUGGAAGGUGUAAUUCACAGCAUCUGGACUGCCCAAGGUUACCUACCUCUGAACUAGGCCGUGAUCACAGUACACAAUGUUGAAGUUGCUGUGCAAACAGGAGCAGCUUGUCACGUGUCAGAUGCCACUUCAUUACUUAUAAAUUCAAUUCUCCACCCUGGAGACGAGCCUCAAACAUGGGCUUCCUUAUUCCACUUCAUGUACUUCGUGUCCCUUAGGAGAACAUGCUUGUCAGAGUUGUGACACACACAAAAACAAAUAAAAAACUGGUUAGAGUAACUGGCAUAACAGACACAGUGCAUGCAAACUUGCGUGCCACAUGCAUACAGCAGACAGACACAAAGAUUGUGGGAGACACACCGGAUUAAAUAUAAGAAUUGGGAGUACCAUACAUACAGAAUGGACAAAGAGAUGGAGAUUACUGAAUUUGGUGACCGACGGAUUUGGUUGCAGAUGUGGGGCAGUCCGCUGCUCGAUGUGAAAUUUCCCUACCUAGUAAUUGUGUGCUUGCGCGGCGGCGCAACCCCCGUCCUAGAGCUGUUCCUCGUCACUUCCGGUGCGGCUGCGUCACCGGAAGUGACGAGGGUAGGGAUUUUUCACGGGGUAGGGUUUUUUGAUAGAACACCAGGACAGAUCACAUGCUGCUUGGUAAUUGGUUCUGUUUGCAGUGGGAGCGGGUUUUUUAUCAGAUUCAAAUAAAUAACUGUAAUUUUAGAUCAAAGGUGCCAUUUUAAUUAAUCCUUACUUACCUUCCCUCAUUUGUUUGGGGUUUGUUAAUUCUUUCUCCCGUUUGGUUAUGGUGGCGGGGGGUUGGAUAGGUCAAUUGGGAGGGGUAGAACGGAUUGUUAAAUUUCUUGGAUUAGUGGUAGCCAUUAACAGUAGCAAUAUGGAUACCAGUCAAAAUCCACAUGCUGAAUUGCAGAUAGCAGAUCCCAUAGAGUAUAAUGGAUACCGUUGAGCACUUCCCUCUAUUCUCCCUAUAAAACCAAGCAUUCUGCUAUCAGAAUGCCUGUUUCAAAUUGGUUUUGUUAGAUUGGAGCUCAUUGGUGGCUUACAACCUAGGGGUGUAGGGGUAUCCGGGUAUACCCCAAUACUGUUAUAAGUUGUUGUUUGUUGUGGCCAUGUUAUGUAUUAUUAUGUCAUUUAUUGUAUGGUUAUAUUUAUACUUACUUAUUAUUUAGUGUUGGGGUUAUUGUCAGUGUGUAUAGUGCUGUUAAGGGAUUGGAAAGAUUUAUGUGGCAAUGUUAAGUGGGAUGUUUGACAAUGAACUUUAUUGUUUAUAAAUUUUUAAUAAAACUGUGAAAUUAAUUUUCAAAGACAAUUUUUGUGUCCGUGUCUUUAUGGAAUAUCUGGUAACGGUUUUGAUAAGUGCCAAUAGGAACAAUAUGCGCCUGUCAAGACAUGACCAGUAUACUGCAGAACAGAAAGAAAAUUAUUUUGCACAAAAACAAAACACCCCAUUUUGUAAAUAAAGGAAGACAAAUAUAAUCAGAGCUUAAUUAAGUAGAAUAUCUAAGUGUAGUGUAUCUUGUUGAUAUUACAACAACAAAAAAAAGAAAGAGGCAUGAAACUGAAAAUCUAAUAAAUUAAACCGGAUGAUUCUUAUAGAGAAACUUGCCACAGGUGAUGAUUUAUCAGCCCACUUCAACAUUAGGCAGAAAAUUCACUAUAAAUGACAAAGUCCCAGAAGAGCUUUCCAUAUAGAGAAGAGCCCAGAGUAAUUCACUGCACUAACCCAACAGCACUUCACAAUCUGGCAUCAGGUGCCUACAGAUCCGGCCAUUCUGAAUGCUAAAAUGGGAAUCCAAGGCAGGUGCCACCAGACCUACCCAUCAUCAACCGAGGACCCUCCAGGAUUGCAGACUAUAAUGUGGAGGUUUCCCCCUAAAGAACAUUUCACAGAUGCUCCAUCAGCCUAGUUAAGUGGCAGUAGGAUUUGGCUUGAGUACCUGUUGAAAGUAAUUGGGGGAUCAAGAGCCCUCAGCUUUAUGCUGGACCUGUUUCAAGAUGUAAGGGUGAAGUUUUAAUUUUGCCCAAAAUUGGGGGCAAAGAUUAUUGAAAGCCUUAGUGAACAUGUCCACCAAGAAAGCUAACAAAAGGGACAGUUGCUGAAGGGCCGGUGUGGCAGCCGUUUUAAGUGUAAGCCUUGAAAGUAUCGUAAUGCAGGGUAAGCAGAAUCUCUCUGUCUAGAUAACGAUAUGCCACUCCAGUGGCAACCAAAAGGGGGGAAACAGGAAUACUCACAAUCCUGAAGCUGUAGAAGAAUUGGCUGUGUAGGCCAAUAUGCCUCAGCCAGCGAUGUCCAGUAAAUCUCCCAUUAAAUCUGUAAUUAUUCUAAACCAAUUGGUGUCCUUGUAAGUAUCAGGAUAAUCACUGUGGAUAUCAAUACAUCUUCAGAUAUAUGCUUAGUUUCAAAAUUGUAGCUCAGAAGCUCAUUCAGCUAGCAGUUUGCUAGAUCAGCAGCCAAGAGUCGACCCGUUCAAUCACAUUUAAAUUAAUCUGUGAACCUUGCAUAUAUUGUAUAUAAAUGUAAAGGUGCCUUCUAGUGAUCUUCCUGUAUGGCAACUCAUCACUACUAUGUUCUAAUAUACAUGUGUUACAAAAUAAAAUAUUUGCCUGGGGUGCUUUAUUCCAUAUUCAGCUAUAUAAAAUUGCAUAGUAUUUGUCCAUGGUUUUUUAUCCCUCACAUUCCACCUCUGGCACUCAAAUGGUUAAUAAGGGAUGCAUAAAUGUAACACUACUUUUCGCAGAAAAUAAUCCCCCCUUACCCUCCCCUUGAACAAAUCUGAUACACACUAAAAAAUUUAAAGGGACACUAUAGUCACCAGAACAACUACAGCUUAUUGAAUUUAUUCUGGUGAGUAGAAUCAUUACCUUCAGCCUUUUUGCUGUAAACACUGUCUUUUCAGAGAAAAUGCAGUGUUUACAUUACAGCCUAGUGAUAACUUCACUGGUCACUCCUCAGAUAGCUGCUAGAGAUCCUUCCUGGGCCAUGGCUGCCUAAAAUGCAUCCAAACAUCCUCCCUCUGCAGACACUGAACUUUCCUCAUAGAGAUGCAUUGAUUCAAUUCAUCUCUAUGAGGAGAUGCUGAUUGGUCAGGGCUGUUUUUAAAACAUGCUGGCUCUGCCCCUGAUCUGCCUCUUUGUCAGUCUCAGCCAAUCCUAUGGGGAAGCAUUGUGAUUGCAUCAGGCUACCACUUCUGCUGAUGUCAGCAGGCAAUGGGCAGAUCAAAAGGAAACAGUGACAAAGCCAGCAGCUUCAGGCUUGAAUACAAGUAAGAUUCACUAUAUUUAGGAAGACAUGAGGGGACCAGGGUGGCUAGAUGGUAGUUUUAACCCUAUAGGGUCAGAAAUACAUGUUUGUGUUCCUGACCAUAUAGUGCUCCUUUAAGAAAUCAUUUGAACCAAAUCUGAUGUACUUUUUAUCUUGUACUUUUUAUAACACUUUCCUUCAUACCUUUUUGUGCAAGCAAAUCUAGAAGUAAUACUGUACUUUUCCAUGUAAGACACCCCCAUGUGUAAGAUGACCCCUAUUUUUUGAGCCCAGAAUUAAGAAAUAAAGGAGGAGAACUACACACUUCUGAUUCUUAUGUCUCCCCUGUGCUAAGGUACUCUGGGAAGUUAAUGACUCCAUAGUACAUGCUAGGAGACUACAACUCGCAUAAUACAGCAGGUGGUGUAAAGGCAUGCUGGGACAUCACGUCACUAUUCCCUCUGCUCCCUGAUCCACAUUUCCUCCUUCAUAAAUAUAAAUCUGAAAGCAAGACCUACCUGAGGUGGAGCAUACCUUAAUAUGGCUGCUCCUUUUAUGGUGUGGCAUGUCUCUGGAGCUCCGUUGGUGGCAAGUGCUGACGUUUGCUGCGGCUCCCACGCAUAUAGGUAUCUCUUUCCCCUUGCCACAGCAUUCAGAAGUGGAUCACAUGAUAAUAAAGACCUGCUCCCACUGUGGGGCUGCGGAGCUGGCAGGCCAAGUAAGUGAGUCGGUGGUAGAGAGACCAGGUAUGUGUGUGGGCCGUGGAACACUAAAACGCAAUAGGCGCCAUCUCGGCUUAGGCCCCGUGUAAAAGUGGUUUUUUUUUUACUCUUGCAGUGAAAUUCCGUGUAUAAGACGACCCCCAAUUUUAGACUAAAAUUAAAAAAAAACAUAUUGUACAAAAUGUACACAAAAUAUGGUACAUAUAUUUAUCCAGUGCAUGUGUGCAGUUUGCUACAAUUUUUAUUAUAUCAGGUUACAAUAUACAUUUAUGUUUUUAAAAUAUAAUAGCUAUCCUAUUUUGACUCAAGACACACGUUCAGCAAAAGAAAAUGUAAAUUUUUCUUCUUUUCUAAUGUUUGUCCAAAUUGGAAAAUCAUUCUUAACUAAAAGGAAAGAAACACAUCAGAAUUCUUACUGUAUUGUCCACUGGUGGUUUGAAAAAAUGAUUAGUAGAACUUAUUAUUGAAAAUUCCACAGUUGUUGCCAUGGCAUGAAGGCAGAUAUUACUUUGUUUCUUGAAGUUCAAAUCUAUUCCACAACAGUGGAUUUAUCUCCUUUGAGAGAGAAAAAAAAAUGUUAUUUAUUGCCUGAGAUCCCUGGGAAAUGGGAUUGUGCUAACAUUUUUUUUUUUGCAGGAUGACUGAAAUGCUAUUGUAUAGCUUCUAAAAUUUUAGUUUCCACUGCAAUAAUCAUAAAUUCACUCCCACGAAAGUAUUCGUUAUUUUGGAAAUCAUGCACUUGCUUUUAACUCUUUUCAUGCAAAAUAAAUUCAACCAACUCAGCCAUAAUAUGCUUCUACAGAUAUAUUUAAAUAACAAAGUAUAAAUCACAGAAGCCUCGAUCACAAUCUCACAUUUAAUAAUCAUUGAAAUCUCAGUGGCUGCUGAUGAGCUCUUAAUAUUAUGGACACAAUAACACUUACACCUUUACAAGAUUAUAAUAUAUAAUAUUUAAACAUUAGAUAUAUUUCGCUGGUUUUAUUAGAAGAAGAUGAGGACUUACAAGAAUGGUAUAUAUUUAGAGUUGAGCGGACACCUGGAUGUUUGGGUUCGGCCGAACUUCGGAAAAAAGUCCGGGUUCGGGAUCGAACUUGACCCCGAAUUUGACCCCGAACCCUAUUGAAGUCAAUGGGGACCCAAACUUUUGGAGAUAAAAAUGGCUCUAAAAAGUCCUGGAAAGGGCUAGAUGGCUGCAAAAGGAAAUAAAAUGGGGGUAAGAGUAGGAUAAGUGCCCUGCAAACAAAUGUGGAUAGGGAAAUCACUUAAAAUAACAUAAAAUACAUAAAAAUUAAAAAUACAGCUGAGCCAUAAAAUAGCACCAGAUGGAAUCUUUGAUUUUAGCUUUGGAAGAACAUAAAUCAAAAUCUAAAGCAUGGCUGUCAGGAGGAUCACCAGAAUUAUCCAUUUGAGAGAGGGUUGGAGUGCAGGGUAUUCUGUUUCAUUGUUCAAACUGAGCUCAACUCCUGAUGCAUGGAGAAAAGGCCUUCACAAGCCUCUGCUAUUGUGUACAUAGUUUAUACUAAGUGACCCAGGUUGAGGAGGCGGGUAGGAGGGUACUUCCUCUUUCUCUCCAGUGUUUGGGAGAUGGACAGAUGAAUGCUUCCAUGGGACAGUGUGGAGAUGCUUGGGACGGUGGCUGAUGUGGUUGCGUUGCUGCCACAUCCUCUGUUUGCCAGGUGGCAGGUGCCACUGUCAUUCCAUAGGUGGACAGCCGCAGAAGAGGAAGCAGGAGGAGCCUGAUACCUCUCUUGGUUUUCGAGGUGCUUACUCCACUGCAGCUCGUGCUUUGCAUGUGGAUGCCUGGUCAUGCAGGUUUUGCUCAGGUUUAGAAUGUUUAUGCCUCACUUCAGGCUCUGAUUGCACAGCGUGCAAACAACUAGUGUCUUGUCGUCAGCACAUUGUCUGAAGAACUGCCACGCCAGGGAAUUCCUUGGAGCUAGCUUUGGUGUGCUUGGUGGGCAGUAGCAGGUGUAUUGUCUAGGGGACAGCCGCUCCACUUUUGCACCCUGCUCUAAGAGGAGGAGGUGGAUGUGGAGUAGCAGGUUGAGGUGCGGUGACCGUGGUGGUGUAGGUGGAAGCGGCAGUGGAGGCGGAGGAGGAGGCCAACACUGUUUUUUAUUUGUUUUUUGUUUUUUUUUUGUUUUUUUAAUUGGGAUAGCCCCUGAAAUAUUGGGACAUUUUAAAAAAGAAACAUUUGCGGCCUGCGGUGCAUUUCUUGCAGUCCAGUAACGCCAUCAGGUUUUUAAAACUGUCCGUCUCCACCAGACAGAAUGACAGCAUUUCAAAGGCCAGGAAUUUUGAAAUGCUGGCAUUCAGGGCCAGGGAUCACGGGGGGUAGGUGGGGUACUUUCUCUUUCUCUCCAGUGUUUGGGAGAUGGACAGCUGAACGCUUCCAUGGGACAGUAUGGAGAUGUGGACAAUUGUGUACCUGGCCUAUGCUGGUGCAGGAAUCCACCAUCCGAGCCACUUGUGAAUGACUGGCCUGAUAACCGUGGAAAUGACCCCUCUUCUUCCUCCUCUUCCUCCUGUGCCACAUCCUCUUCCAUCAUCGCCCAAAGCAUGACAUAGCGUGACAUUUUCAAGGAGACAUAGAAGCGGGAUAGUAAGGCUAAGAACGGCAUCAUCGGCACUGGCCAUGUUGGUGGAAUCCUCAAAACAGCGCAACAUGGCACAGAGGUCUUGCAUGGAGGCCCACUCAUUGGUGGUGAAGUGGUGCUGUUCCGCAGAGCGACUGACCCAUGCGUGCUGCAGCUGAAACUCUGCUAUAGCCUGCUGCUGCUCGCACAGUCUCUCCAGCAUGUGCAAGGUGGAGUUCCACCUUGUGUGCACGUCGCAUAUGAGGCGGUGAGCGGGAAGGCGGAAGUUACGCUGCAGCGCAGACAGACGAGCAGCAGCAGGGUGAGAACGCCAAAAGUGCGCACAGACGGCCCUGCACUUUCUGCAGCAGCUCUGAUAUAUCUGGGUAUACACCGUGGCAGUGUAGGUGGAAGUGGCAGCGGUGGAGUAGGAGGAGGUAGCCAACACUGUUUUUUAUUUAUUUGUAUUUUUUUUAAUUGGGGUUGCCCCAAAAUAUUGGGACAUAUAAAAAAAGAAAAAAAAGAAUAAGUGCACUUGAGUAUAACAAUUGCUGGGUGAGGCCUGUAUAAAUGUCUAUUCUGCACAAGGUACAGACAAGUCUGGUGGGAUCCAUACCUGGUUCAUUUUAAUAAACGUGAGCUUGUGUGAUAACCAAUCACACGACCCCGUGACGGCGACAACACAUUUGGAUGUCUGCCCUAUCAACUUUCAAUGCUAUUUUCCGCGCCUACCAUGGUGACCACGGGUAACGGGGAAUCAGGGUUCGAUUCCAGAGAGAGAGCCUGAGAAACGGCUACCACAUGCGAGGAAGGCAGCAGGCGCGCAAAUUACACACUCCUGACGCGGGGAGGUAGUGACGACAAAUAACAAUACACUACUCUUUCGAGGCCCUGUAAUUGUAAUUAGUCCACUUUAAAUCCUUUAACUUGGAUCAAUUGGAGGGCAAGUCUAGUGCAGAGCGACUGACCCGUGCAUGCUGCAGCUGAAACUCCACUAUUGCCUGCUGCUGCUCGCUGAAGCUGCAUCAGGGUCCUGGAAUGUGGCCGCCCAAAUGCUGCUGCUCAACACCAUGGGGCGUGCAGUUACCCUGCACCAGACCCUGCUAAUCCAUUCCACACUGUGACUCCUAACUUCAACAUCAGGCAUACUGAGUCCCGGUCGUCCGACCGCCGCCCAGACAGUGUCUGGGUCCCUGUCAUUAGACUGCCACCCUGACUGUGAAAUUGCGAAUGGCUCGUUAAACCUGUUAUGGUUCCUUUUAUCGCUCGAUCUGUUACUUGGAUAACUGUGGGAAUUCUGGAGAUAAUACAUGCCGACGAGCGCUAGGGCACGGCCGCUCCGCUUUUGCACUCUGCUCCCUCUUAUGCUGUGCUGGUGCCUCUGUGCGACCAGCGCCUCUUCCUCCAAAUUGCACGCGUCACUCGCAUGACCUUUAUUCCACGUUGUUUUGGUGUUUGGUUCUUAACUUUGUAGUUGUGUCUUUACACAAUAUAGAAAUAUAUAUUAAUGCUUCUGUAUAUGAAGCAAUCACAAUAACACUUAUUUUUCACUUUUUUAAAAAGUAUUUAGACUUUCUUGAGAAGCGGUAACUAGCCAGUGUUGCACACAUACACCAGAUAUGAAAUUUUAAAAAUGUGCUGUAACCACAGUAUUUGACGGUUCUAUUUGACUCUCAGAUGUGAAGUGCAGGCCACAAAUGUACUAUUUAGCACCUAAAGAAUUUAAAUGUUUAAAAAUGCGCUGUAACCACAGUAUUUGACGGCUCUAUUUGACUCUCUGAUAUGAAGUGCAGGCCCCAAAUUUACUAUUUAGCACCUAAAGAAUUUGAAAUUUUAAAAUUGCUAUGUCACAACAGUAUUUGACGGUUCUAUUUGACUCACAGAUAUGAAGUGCACCGCAGGCCGCCAAUGUACUAUUUAGUAGCAAAAGAAUUUGAAUGUUUAAAAAUGCGCUGUAACCACAGUAUUUGAUGGUUCUAUUUGGCUCUCAGAUAUGAACUGCACCGCAGGCCGCAAAUGUACUAUAUAGCAGCAAAAAAAAUUUGAAUUUUUUAAACUGCGCUGUAAGCACAGAAUUUGACGGUUCUAUUUGACUCUCAGAUAUGAAGUGCAGGCACCAAAUUGACUUUUUAGCACCUAAAGAAUUUGAAUGUUUAAAACUGCAAUGUAAGCACAGUAUUUGACGGCUCUAUUUUACUCUCAGAUUUGAAGUACAGGUACCAAAUUGACUGUUUAGCACCUAAAGAAUUUGAAUUUUUAAAACUGCACUGUAAGCACAGUAUUUGACGGUUCUAUUUGACUCUCAGAUAUGAAGUGCACCGCAGGCCGCAAAUGUACUAUUUAGCACCAAAAAGUUUGUUUUUUUAAACCAACAAUGUAACAGUAGUAUUUAAGGGUUUUAUUGGACUGCAAGAAAUGCAGUACGCAAAUGUACUAUUUAGCACCCCAAAAAAAUUGCAGUAUUUAAAAAUGCCUAGAUGUUGCCCACUGAGCUACUAGAACAGGAUUAAAGUAAUGUGCCUGGCACACAUGCAGGGCCGGACUGGCCCACCGGGAUACCGGGAAAUUUCCCGGUGGGCCGCGGCACCUGGGGGCCGGCCGCGUUCCUGGGCCGGCCCUUUAAAUACUGCAGCCGCCCGAGCGCUCUGUUAAGAGCGCUCGGGCGGGUUAGAAGCCCUCCCUCCCCCAGAAGGUGUAGCUGCACCAUGGGAGCCGUCGGGAGGGGAUAGGAAGGUGGGGACACUGAGUGUAAGCAUCUCUGUCAGUCCGGGAAGAGGAAACAGAAAUUCUGUUCCGGAAGCUGAGUUUCUGUUUCAGUCACCGUCGGACUGAUAGGGAAGUGCACACUGAGGUGCACCCAACCACCGCCGGCCACCCGACCGGAGGCAGCCCGGCCAACGCCACAGGAGGGGGGCAAGAAUAGGGGGGGUAAGAAGAGGGGAGGGUGGGACAAAAGAGGGAGGGGGAACAAAAGAGGGGAGGGGGGGAAUAAGACGAGGGGGGGAACAAAAAGAGGGAGGGGGGAACAAGAAGAGGGGGAGGGAGGGGGGAACAAGAUGAGGGGAGGGGAAGGGGAACAAGAAGAGGGGGAGGGGGAACAAGAAGAGGGGAGGAGGGGAACAAGAAGAGGGAGGAGGGGAAUAAGAAGAGGGAAGGGGGGGAAUAAAAAGAGGGAAGGGGGGGAAUAAAAAGAGGGAAGGGGGAAUAAAAAGAGGGGAGGAGGGGAAUAAAAAGAGGGGAGGGGGGUAAGAAGAAGAAGGGGUUAGUAAGAAAAAGAUGGAAUAAGAAGAGGAGGGAGUAAGAAAAAGAGGGGGAAUAAGAAAAGGGGGAGGGGGGAGUAAGAAGGAGGGGAGAUAAGAAAAAGAGGAGGGCAAGAAGAGGGGAGGGGAACAACAAAAGAGGGGAGGGAGGGAUAAGAUGAGGGGAGGGGGGUCAAGAAGAGGGGAGGGAGGGAUAAGACGAGGGGAGGGGGGAACAAGAAGAGUGGAGGGGAGGAACAAAAGAGGGAGGGAGGAACAAAAGAGGGGAGGGGGCGGGAAUAAGAUGAGGGAGGGGGGGGACAAGAAGAGGGGAGGAGGGAGGGACAAGAUGAGGGGAGGGGGGGGGAAAUAUGAAGAGGGAGGAGGAACAAAGAGGGGAGGGGAGGGAACAAAAAGAGGGAGGGGGGGAACAAGAUGAGGGGAGGGGGGGGAAAUGGGGGCAAGAAGAGGGAGGGAGGACAAGAAGAGGGGGGGAACAAAAAAGAGGGAGGAGGGGAACAAGACGAGGGGGAACAAGAAGAGUGGAGGGCGCUGAACAAGAAGAGGGGAGGGGGACAAGAAGAGGGAGGGGGGAAUAAAAAGAGGGGAGGGGGGAAUAAGAAGAAGGGAGGGGGAAUAAGAUGAGGGGAGGGAGGGAUAAGAAGAGGGGAGGGAGGGAAUAAGAAGAGGGGAGGGAUGGAUAAGAAGAGGGGAGGGAGGGAAUAAAAAGAGGGGGGAAUAAGAUGAGGGGAGGGAGGGGAAUAAGAAGAGGGGAGGGGGGAAUAAGAAGAGGGGAGGGAUGGAUAAGAAGAGGGGAGGGAGGGAAUAAAAAGAGGGGGGGGGAUAAGAUGAGGGGAGGGAGGGGAAUAAGAAGAGGGGAGGGGUGAAUAAGAAGAGGGGAGGGAUGGAUAAGAAGAGGGGAGGGGGGAAUAAGAAGAGGGGAGGGGGGGAAUAAGAAGAAGGGGCAGCUCUAUAGGACAGGGGCCAAGACAGGGAGCUCUUUCACACUACGCGCGCACACACACACAAUGCAUCCCUAUACAUACACAGAAACACAACAUGCUUCCCUUACACACAGAGAAACACACAAUGCAUCCAUUACACACACACACACAAUGCAACCCUUACACACAAAGACAAUGCAUCCUUUGCACACAUACACAGAAACAGACAAUGCAAACCCGUACACACGCAUGCAAACACACACACUUCUUUUCUUACAUACACACAGAAACACAAUGCAUCUCAUGCACACACAUACAGACACACACCUUGCAUCCCUUAUGCAUACAAACACAGAUUCACACAAUGCAUCCCUUACACACAACCAGAAACACAUAAUACAUCCCUUAUACACAAAUACACACUGCUUCCACUACACACAAACACACUGCAUCACCUGCACAAACUGGUAACCCUAAACACUACAUACCAUAAGCACACAUAUUAGAUCCUCUACAAUAACACAUAACACAUCCCCUACACACUCCACUCCCUGUGAGCGAACUCAUGGGUGGGUGGAACUUAUGAGUGGGCCUUAUGGGCAUACUCACCGUCAGGCCCUGGGGCCCAGACCUUGAGCUGUGUAAGGCGCCCCCAAAAAAUUGAGCUGCUUCCAAUUCUCCCAGAACAUUGAAUUUUGUGACCACAGUUGCAAACAGCCUCCAGAGAUCCUGUUCUACUCCAGACCAGUGGAGCCAAACUGCAGCCCAUCAUCAUCCUCAUCUGCUUGUAAGUAGGCAAUCUAGUAUAUUAUUAGUGACACUAAUCUAUAAUUUACCUCACAUUAAAGGGACACUAUAGCUUAAUGAAGUGGUUCUGGUGUCUAUAGCUGGUCCCUGCAGGCUUUUUAAUGUAAACACACACUGUGUGCAGCACUGGCGUUAGUUCAUAUGGCAGAUCAUAUGGGUGGGGCAUUGUGAUGUGACAUGUGGGGGCAGCAAAUUUUUAUUUUGUCUAGGGCGGCAAAAAUCCUUGCACCUUCUCUGAUCCUGGGCAGGUGCACCAGUCUACUUGACUGGUUUUGCCCCCCAGGCCUAAGGCUGCCAGCCCUCCCCUGGCCGCUGGGGAGGUCUUUUGGCGGCCGCUGGCGGACUUGUCCUGGCGGCCGCUGAGGGAGCUGCGCGAGCUGCGCUGGCUCUGCUCCCCAGCACGCAGCUGAAUGAGACCGGCGCCGGAAUAUGACGUCAUAUUCCGGCGCCAGUCUCAUUCAGCAGCGCGCGAGGGCGGGAGGGCACUAACACAGGAAGCACCUCUAGUGACCGUCUGAGUGACUGUCACUAGCAGUGUCACUUUGAAGCAAUGUAAACACUGCCUUUUGUCUGAAAAGUCAGUGUUUACGUUGAAAUGCCUGUAGGGACAUGCUAUAGACACCAGUACCACCACAUUAAGCUGUGUGUGUGCGUCUGCUAGUGAGUGAGCUUGCUUGCAUGCGUGUGCCUGCUAGUGA
rnacentral:lncRNA from 1 species